CUGCGCGGCACGGUGACCAUGGCGCUGUGUGAGUGAGUGAGGGAGUGAGAGAGAGAGGAGCCCGGCGGGAUACCGGAGACUGGAGACCAUGGGCUCCCGGGUGAAGUAAGUGUCUGACCUGCCAGUCAUGUGUACUGCCAUUAGAGAUUAUUGGCGGCUUGGUUUAUUAGCAGUGUCAGUGAACAGGCUGUACCCACACAUGUCUACUGUGUUAUAUGGGUCUGUGUGUCCAUGUAUGUGUAAAUAGACCUGUCAGCUGCUCCCACCUGGUUUAUAUGUACACCUACCCAAAGACACAUGGAGGAGAACAACAACAACAGCAAUAUAAUAUUAAAUACAUACAUGGAAAUGUACAGGCACCAUUUGUCAAUAAUAUAUAUAUGUGUGUAUAUAUGUUAUGUUAGAGUGUGUGUGUGUGUGUAUAUAUAUAUAUAUAUAUAUAUAUAUAAUUGCUGAAUAAUAAAAAUCUAUCCAUAUAUCAAUAACUGUUUUUUACUCCAGUAAAAAUCAGGAAUACGCAAACCACACAUCUUACAGCCUGUCUGUGUGCGUCCAAUCAUUUUAGAUAUCACUUUCCAUGUUUUGUGUAAUAAUUAUUUUGAUACACUUUUUAGAUUUGCCCAGAAAGGGGCAGGGGUGGCCCUGUAUGUGAUUGAUAGCAUAAAAUCUAGCCUAAUAAAAGUUAGUGAGGCGAACAUGGAGUCCGUUUGGGUUACGUUACAAUUUGGUAAAUACACAGUAACUCGUGUAGGUGUUAUUUAUAGGCCCCCAGGACAAAUAGAAGAGUUAGAUAAUCUACUAGUUGAGGAAAUAGCUAAAAUGACAAUGAAGGGGGAAGUUAUCAUCAUGGGUGACUUUAAAGGACCACUAUAGUGCCAGGAAAACAUACUCGUUUUCCUGGCACUAUAGUGCCCUGAGGGUGCCCCCACCCUCAGGGUCCCCCUCCCGCCUGGCUCUGGAAAGGGGUUAAAACUUACCUUUUUCCAGUGCUGGGCGGAGAGCUCUCCUCCUCCGAUCCUCCUCAAUUCCUCCUCCUGGGCUGAAUGCGCGUGCGUUCAGCCGGUCACAUAGGAAAGCAUUCAUAAUGCUUUCCUAUGGACGCUGGCGUGCUCUCACUGUGAAAAUCACAGUGAGAAGCACGCAAGCGCCUCUAGUGGCUGUCAAUGAGACAGCCACUAGAGGAAAUAGGGGAAGGCUUAACCCAUUCAUAAACAUAGCAGUUUCUCUGAAACUGCUAUGUUUAUUAAAAAAUGGGUUAACCCUAGAAGGACCUGGCACCCAGACCACUUCAUUAAGCUAGAGUGGUCCUUUAAUCUUCCUGAUGUGAAUUGGAAAACCAAAAUAGCUGCUUGUGCCAGGAGCACACAUAAUCUAAACUCCCUACUGGGAUUGUCUCUAAAACAAGUCGUUUAGGAGCCAACUUGUAAAGAGGCCAGACUAGAUUUAGUGUUAACAAAUGGAGAUUUGGUACCAGAUAUUACUGUAGGUGAAAGUUUAGGAUCUAGUGAUCCUCACUCACUGUGGUUUAAUUUAAGAACAGUGACUGAGUCACACCACACAAAAAGAAAAAGUUUUAGACUUUUAGACAAACAGACUUUUCAAAAAUUUAAAAUAUGUGUAAAGGAGUCAUUAUCAGACUGGAGCAAUUUAAAUGGAGUCCAAGAGAAAUUGGAUUAUUUAAAAGUUGCACUGCUGAAGGCAACAGAAAAUUGCAUUAGGCUUGUCAGUAAAAGCAAAAAAUUCAAGAAGCCACUGUGGUACUCUGCAGAUGUGGCCAAAAUAGUAAAAAACAAAAAGUUAGGAUUUAGUAAUUAUAAAAAAAAAAAAAGUGAGGAAGACAGAAUGAUCUAUAAGAUUAGGCAGAAAGAGGCUAAGCAAGUUAUAAGAGCUUCCAAGUCACACACAGAAGAGAGAAUAGCACUGUCAGUAUAAAAAAAGGGGACAAAACAUUUUUUAGAUACAUAAAUGAGAAAAGGAAAGUAAAACAAGGUUUAGUUAGAUUUAAAAAAAAAAAAAAAAAAAAGGAAGGUGUGUAGAAGAGGAUAAAGUUCUAGCUGACUGCCUCAAUUAAUAUUUUUGUUCAGUAUUUACAGAUGAAAAUGAAGGAAAGGGGCCUCAGUUAGGAAAAAGGACAAAUUAGUCAUUUGUUACAUGUGAGUUUACAGAGGAAGAAGUUAUAUUUCAACUGUCAAAAGUAAAGACAAAAAAGUCAAUGAGACCUGAUGGAAUAACUUAGUGGUGUACUAGCAAAACCAUUAACAGAUUUAUUUAACCAAUCAUGGUUAACAGGUGUAGUCCCUGAAGAUUGGAAGUAAGCAAAUGUUGUGCCCAUUCACAAGAAAGGUAGUAGGGAGGAGUUGGGCAACUAAAGGCCAGUAAACCUUACUUCAGUAGAGGGGAAAGUAAUAGAAACCAUGUUAAAGGAUCGGAUUGUUGAACAUCUAAAAACACAUGGGUUUACUUCAGGGAGAUCAUGCCAAACUAAUCUUAUUGAUAUUUUUGAUUGGGUAACUAAAAUAAUAGAUCAGGGUGGUGCAGUAGACAUUGCUUACCUAGAUUUCAGUAAGGCAUUUGACACUGUUGCACAUAGAAGGCUUAUCAAUAAACUCCAAUCUUUAAGUUUGUAUUCCAAUAUUGUUGAAUGGAUAAGGCAGUGGCUGAGUGACCGGCAACAGAGGGUUAUAGUCAAUGGAGUAUAUUCAAAGCAUGGGCUUUUCACCAGUGGGGUACCUCAGGGAUCUGUACUUGGACCCAUUCUCUUUAAUAUUUUUAUUGGUGAUAUCAUGGAUGUAAAAACCCAAGGGCAGAGUACAGAAUAUUUGAUAGCGUCCUAACCUCAACAUCUGAGGAAAGGGAUUUAGGGGUGAUUAUUUCUGAUGAUUUUUAAGGUAGGCAGACAAUGUAAUAGAGCAGCAGGAAAUGCUAGCAGAAUGCUUGGUUGUAUAGGGAGAGGUAUUAGCAGUAGAAAGAGGGAAGUGCUCAUGCCAUGGUAGAGAACACUGGUGAGACCUCACUUGGAGUAUUGAUACUUUAGAGAGAGUUCAGAGAAGGGCUACUAAACUGCUGCAUGGAUUGCAGGAUAAAACUUACCAGGAAAGAUUAAAGGAACUCAACAUGUAUAGCUUGGAGGAAAGACGAGACAGGGGGGAAUAUGAUAGAAACAUUUAAAUACAUAAAGGGAAUCAACACAGUAAAAGAUGAGACUAUAUUUAAAAGAAGAAAACUACCACAACAAGUGGACAGUCUUAAAUUUGAGGGUCAAAGGUUUAAAAAUAAUAUCUGGAAGUAUUACUUUAAUGAGAGGGUAGUGGAUGAAUGGAAUAGGCUUCCAGCUGAAGUGGUAGAGGUUAACACAGUAAAGGAGUUUAAGCAUGUGUGGGAUAUGCAUAAGGCUAUCCUAACUAUAAGAUAAGACUAGGGACUAAUGAAAGUAUUUAGAAAAUUGGGCAGACUAGAUGGGCCGAAUGGUUCUUAUCUGCCGUCACAUUCUGUUUCUAUGUUUUAAAAAAAUUUUUUUUUUAAUGUGUGCCUCAAUAGUGUGUGUGUGUGUGUGUGUGUGUGUGUGUGUGUGUAUAUAUGUAUAUAUAUAUAUAUAUAUAUAUGUGUGUGUGUGUGUGUUUUAAUACAAUGUUAAAACAAAUCUGCACACCAGCCAAGCUAUAAGACUUGCUUUUUCCACAGAAAUCACAAAUUUGCAGUGAUGUUACUACCCCAAAGGAUUCUGGGUGGGCAUAUUCAAAUUAGUUUAACAAAGAAUCACAUUUCUCCCUCAUUCCAUUUUAAACAUGGAUUCCUUUGAGUCUGUGUUUGCUGUAUACAACAGCUUUGAAACACCACACCAAAGAUGCAAAUGCCCAUAAUCCUUUGCGGAAGUAACAUACAUCACUGCACAUUUGUGAUUUCUGUGGGAAAAGCAAGUCUUAUAGCUUAACUGGUGUGCAGAUUUUUGUUUAAAGGAACACUAUAGUCAAGUAAACAACUUUAGCUUAAUGAAGCAAUUUUAGUGUAUAAAUCAUGCCUCUCAAGUUUCACUGUUCAAUUCACUGCCAUUUAAGAAUUAAAUCGCUUUGUUUUUGUUUAUACAGCCUUUGCCACACCUCCCCUGGCUCUGAUUGAAACAGGCUGCAUGAAAAAAACCAAAACUCGUUUCACUUUUAAUCAGAUGUAAUUUACCUUAAACAAUUUUAUCUCUUGCUCUGUAAAUUGAACUUUAAUCACAUACAGGAGGCUCUUGCACGAUCUAGCUAUUAACAUAGCAGGGGAUAAGAAAAUUUAAAUUAAACAUAACUUGCAAUAAAGGAAGCAUAAAUUUUAGCUGACUCUUUGCAGGAAGUUGUUAGGAAGGCUGUUUAAGUCACAUGCAGGGAGGUGUGACUAGGGUUCCUAAACAAAGUGACUUAACUCUUAAAUAGCAGAGAAUUGAGCAGUGAGACUGUAGGGGCAUGAUCUAUACGCCAAAAUAGCUUUAUUAAGCUAUCCACAGACUUCAGAUGGAAGGGGUUUUCAAUCCAAAUUUUUCCCCACCAUAACAUUUUUUUGUGUGUAGACACACUCACUCACUCACACACUCACACACACUCUCUCAAGAAAACCAAAUAUCAGUAUAAUGUGUCCUGCUCACUGGCUUUCGCCUUCAGUGACAGCAUAAUAUUGGUUUGUCAGGAGCGAAGAACAUGGGCCUUGCUAUUACAGUAUUAACCCACUCAGUUUUGUUAAUGAAAGAAACUAAAAAAAAACAAAAAAAACCCUUUUACUUUAUAAAGGAAGACAUGAUCAGUGUGUUGGUUCUAUUAAGAGAAACUCUGUGGCAAAAUAACGUUGGUAUAUAUGUUGCAUCAAUCAUGUAAAUUAAGGAAACAUUCCAAUUAAUCUGUUACCUUUUUAGAACUCGUAUUAGUGGGCAGUAUAUAAUUGAGUCAGUGGAGUCAUUGUGCAUCUCGUGGUACCUUAAAGUGAGAACAUUUUUGUAAGGCUACUAUAGCUGUGCAGUAUUCUAAUGAAACUAAUACUCUAUUGUAUUACUUCACAAGCUUGAGAAUGCCAAGUCAUCCCCAUCUGAAAAUCCUGAAAGAUGUUGAAACUCAUUAGGAUCAUUAUUAAAUUAUGUGCAAGAAGAUGCCUGUGCCACUAGCCUUCAGUUAUUGACCACUGAUGGAAAUGGGAGAGUGUCCACACAGGCUGUCUCAAAUUCACAAAGCUUAUCUUGUGUAACUUUAAAACCGUAAAACCUGUGUUUUUUAUUUUAUUGAAAUAAAGAAUGACAUUUUAUUCAAAAUGUACCAAUGUCACCUGAUAUGUCCUCAAGGACUUACAACAUAGCUAUGUACUCUUGCCUAUGAUCUCCAAAAGUUUUCAUUAAUUACUUUAAUUGUCUAAAGUUAAUGAGAAGGGCUAGUUGGUCAAGAUUUUUUUUUCUCUUCCAUUGCCCAGUAUUAUUAUUUUUUUUAACCUAGAAAUUAUCUAGCAGACAUGAGUAUAAGAGACCAGGGAUGGUAAAGAAAAUGUCACUUUUUUAUUUUAUUUUUAUCAAUAAUGCAAUGUUGAUAAAACAUGACAAUAUAGGUCUUUUAAUGCAUUCAUGCAAAUGCAUUGUCUAUUGGUGGUAAAUGCAAGUACCCCUUGUAAAGGGCAUUCCAGAUUGGAACUAAUUAUAUGUUAAUGCUUUAUAUAGUUAAUGUAAAGAAUUAAAAAAAAAAAAAAAUUGAAAGUAAUUGAGCGAGACUUACAUUGUGUCAAAUCUUUGGCCUUGAUUUUUACACAUACCAUAAUAAUAUUCUGGACUGUUGAGCCCAAACUCUUGGAAAUGUUUAAUUAAAGGAACACUCCAAACCCAUAAAGCACUUUGGCUAUAUGUGUAGAGUAUUUAAUUUUUUCAGUUGAUAAGUGCUGCUUUCAAUAGAAGUCAGCAUGUUUAUAAUUAAUGCAGCACCCCAUGUGCAAUCAGAGAGCCAGAGGGAUUACUUCCGUUUGUUAGCUGAGCUAAAGGAAGUGCAUGUGUGUGGGCAAGCACUAUCAGAUUCCUAUACACAAAAAUUAACUCUGCAAUUGUGUGUGCGUAUAAACAAACACAUACGCAGCCCCCUGUGAAAACCUAUACAUGAAAUCAGUGUGUUAGUUAGUGGUUAGACCAUCUCAAUAAGAAGAUGGGGAAAAAGACUGAACAAGUGGAGGGCUUGCAAUAGCUGCAGACACAAAAUCUGUGCAUGUUUUCUUUGCAAGUUAAUCUAAUAUAUAUAUAUAUAUAUAUAUAUAUAUAUAUAUAUAUAUAUAUAUAUAUAUAUAUAUAUAUAUAUAUAUAUAUUUUUUUUUAUUAAUGGAGUGUUUCUUUUGAAGGAAUACUCCAAGCUUCAUAACCAUAUACACUGCAUAGAAGGGAGAUAGGAAGCGUCUGGUUAUGGAACACUAAUAUCACAUACCUUUGUCUAGGAAUCCCCAACUAAAAAGUAUCUUAAAAUGAGGAAAAAGGGCGGUGGGGUCAUACUUAAAGAGACACUCCACUGCCGAAAUAAAAAUUACUGUUUAGUUGAUAUACCGACCAAUGAAAACAUGCAUGCAUUUAAUUAUGCAUUGUUUUGAGAUAUAUCUAAAAACAGCUUAUAAAAGCUGGAGAUCCCUUGUCUAAAACUUUAGAAAGCCAUCCCCUUCUUCCCCAAGCUCAAUGAACAAUCUUUCUGGGGAAUUUCCUGCCUCUUGAGUUUAGCUUCACUGAAAACUACCAGGAAGUAAAUAGAUGUCGGAUUGAGAGCCAGGAUGUGUGUAACAAUGUUAAUUUAGAAAAGUGCCUUUAAAAUCUGCACUUUUUGACAAAUACAAAAAAGAGAGCACUCUGUUCACACAUAAUGCACUUCUGAAGUGCUUUAGGAGUCUACAGUGUACCUUUAACCCCUUAAGGACCAAACUUCUGGAAUAAAAGGGAAUCAUGACAUGUCACACAUGUCAUGUGUCCUUAAGGGGUUAAAGGGACACUAUAGUCACCUGAACAACUUUAGCUUAAUGAAGCAGUUUUGGUGUGUAGAACAUGCCCCUGCAGCCUCACUGCUCAAUCCUCUGCCAUUUAGGAGUUAAAUCCCUUUGUUUAUGAACCCUAGUCACACCUCCCUGCAUGUGACUUGCACAGCCUUCCAUAAACACUUCCUGUAAAGAGAGCUCUUUUUAGGCUUUCUUUAUUGCAAGUUCUGUUUAAUUAAAAUUUUCUUAUCCCUGCAAGAGCCUCCUGUAUGUGAUUAAAGCUCAAUUUAGAGAUAGAGAUACAAUUAUUUUAGGUAAAUUACAUCUGUUUGAAAGUGAAACCAGUUUUUUUUUUUUUUCAUGCAGGCUCUGUCAAUCAUAGCCAGGGCUGCAUAAACAGAAACAACGUGAUUUAACUCCUAAAUGACAGUGAAAUUGCAGGGGAAUGAUCUAUGCACUAAAACUGCUUUAUUUAGCUAAAGUAAUUUAGGUGACUAUAGUGUUCCUUUAAGAUGCAGAAUGCUGCAAAUCACUUUUUCUUUUGCAACAAUUACUUAUUUUAUCUUAUUACAUAGGCCAAAAGCUAUAAGAAUGCAAACAAGUUGUGUUGAUGUCUGGAGUGUCCCUUUGAGUUCAAACUAUUAGUACCAUAACGACAUAUGCUCAUUUCAGGCAUAGAUUAUGAAUGUACGUGUUAGUAUGCUGUGCAAAUCUGUUCAACUGAUGCAUAGAAAAUUCACACACUACUAACUCUACCUGAGCCACAGCUGCGCACAUACUUCUGAAAAAUACUAUGCACAACUCUCUAAACAGCAUUUACAGGAUGGCUGUUAUCUGCUUUUUCAGCAGUUCCGCACAUCAAAUAGCAUGAGUGGAACUGAGCAGGGGUGUUUCACUACGUAACUCGUAAGAUCACGCCACAUAGACCAUUAUGAGAGGCUUCUGGUUGGUUUCCUGGUCUGUGAUAGGACUAUCUGCCAAUCCACCUUUCCUUGAUCAGCAGCUUUAUUUUUGUGCUUUGUUGUUUGGUUUUGUUUUGUAUUAUAUUAUUUUUCUUGAAAACUAUAUAAUGCAUUAAAAUCACUUUCACUCUGGAGUGUCUAGAGGUUCUCCUACCUCAUGUUACUAUGUUUCUAAGGAGACAAUGUUUAGAUUAUUUUAUAUAAUAAUGAUGCUUCUUUAGAAGCAUGUUUUGAAAUUAUGUAAAACUGCUGAGGAUUGAACGAUGUUGCCUGAGAACUCUUACUGGAUCAGAUCCAUAGACCAUAAUGAGAUUUAUUUUUUUUUCCCCAUGAAACUUUGCUAUUAUAGGUGCUGUUCUGUAUAUUGAAACCGUGCUUUAGAAGUAUGUUAAAAAGGAAAUUAUUUCUCUAGACUCCUUGAAUAAACCAUUGAGAAAUAAUUGAAGAUUAUGCUAGCUUUAGUGUACUAAUAAUCUUAAUUUUAAUAAUGACAGGAGGCGAGUCUUUUGCAUAAUCUUCCUUUUCUACUCCAUAGCAGCAAAGACAUAGAGAGAAAAAAAGGAACCAAUCAGAGACAGGCAGAGAGUAUAAGAUACGCCUUUCACUUCCUCUUGAUAACAUCAACAUCACCAGUCACACAAUCAACUGAAGAACCAUAAGGAAUAACGAAGACCGUUCAAAUUCCAGGAACGAUGAACGCUUAGAUUCAUUCAAAACUAGGAAGAACGAAUAUACUUGUACGUUUGAUAUAGAAGAUCUCUUUAUAUCUUUUAGGCUGAAAGAGAACGAGUGCAUUUUUAGUGAUAUGAAAUGUAAACCUGAACAAUAUGAGUAACCCUCACUUAAAAGGGGCGCAAUAAAUUGGUACUAUCACAAUCUAUCGUGAUCUAUAAAAUUUAACAUACGUACCAUACUAUAGCUACCUAAUAUAGAUUAUCUAUACAUAUAUCAACUUUUUAUCUAGAGUGAAUAGAGUCAAUUACGUAGUCACAAGAAAAUGACCAUUAUCAUAUUGAUAACAUACAUGACCUACCAGGAGAUGCGAACCCACCUGAAUGGGGGGGAGGGGGGAAAUGCUUGCCUCCUGUUAUUAUUAAGAUUAUUAGUACACUAAAGCUAGCAUAAUGUUCAAUUUUAUCACAUGACAGGAGGCUUCAUAUUUUGCACUUUUAACGCUAAGUUAAUAGAGAGAAAGCCGCAAUGGAGGCCUGUGGGCCCAAUUCUUUAGCCCUCCGGUUGACCAAUUUGCCAUCAAUUCGGAAUAAGGCUGCCCAGCAUCUCCGAAAAGAGGGCCACAUUUGUGUUGCCCAGGAAGCAAAAACCUCUCUGGGUCCACUCAUGAACAUCGCGUGCGUUGUCUGCUGAAAGGAGUCAGCCAGGGUGUAUGCCUCAUCAGUUAGGGUCAGAACCCGGGUGAGUGGCCUGACCGCAUCAAGGAGCUUAUCCUGGGCUCCCUUUUACCCUUUCUCAACCCCUUUCCUUGGGUCUCUACUCCCUUGUGCCAUGAAGGCCAGCAUCAUCUGGUCAAAUUCUGGGGUAUAGGCAACCUUAUCUGGAGUGCACUCUGAUCUCAGCCGCUUGUGGACUUCUUUGUACAGUACAUUCCACAGCACGAAAGUGCAUGUGUCCAAUCUCCCGAGCGUGGGUGGCGAAUGUUUCUCGGGUCAUAGUAAUGUAUGUAAAGGCAAUGUUGGGGGUCACCCAGGUAAAAGGAGACUGCAAGCACAGCUACACUCGGCAGCAGUAUAUGGGUGCUCACCUGCCCCGGGUUACUAGGUAUAAACCUGACCGGCUGAACCCCUAGGUUAAUACUAACCUUGACAGGUUCCUGUAGUAGGCAAGGUGAACAGAAGCCAAUUUCCAAUAUAUAUAUUCUGUAAUAAUAAAACCUGCAGGAGUGUAUCCUGUAGGGGGGUACGGUGGCACAGAGAAGCCAAUCAUAUGAGCUGUAAAAGUGACAGACAGAUCAAAUAACCAAUAUUUUCUGGCAAUUAAAGGUACCCGGGUAUUUAACAAUAUGAUGGGGGCUCACCCCAAGUAAUGUUAGCAGAGAAGUAUUCCAGUAAAAGCAGUAGCUAGCAUAAGCUAGGGUACAUUUAUAAAUCAGGGUCUCACCCCUGUUUAAUUGCUAGCAACCGGCAAGGGUUAAAUGGCCGCCGUGGAUCUCACGAGGUGUGAUCCAAAGUAGCUGUGGAAAAAACCUGCGAAAUGUGUUUGCAGGAAAUCUGUCGAAUGGUCGCUUGAACAGAGACAGAACAGUAAUAUAGGAAAAAACUGAACGGAGGAAAAAACGAACACAGAAAACUCACGAAUGAACAACCCAAAGGGAAACUACCGAACGCUAUACGUCUUUGCUGUAUGGAGUAGUAAAGGAAGAUUACGCAAAAUAUGAAGCCUCCUGUCGUGAUAAAAUUCUAUAAACUUUUAUAUUAAAGGGUUACUUUGACCCUUCUCAAACAUUCCUUUUUUUUUUUUUUUAUUUAUUGAUUUCCAUUGGGCAUUACUAAUAGGUCCCUAUUCCCUUGUUUAAUUAAGUUUAAAAAAAAAAAAAUAACUUUAAAACAAAGCUCCUGGUAACCCUCCUACAUCCGACGUCGGCAGGGUGCCUCAUAGGUGAUUGGACUGUUUGGCCGGGGAGGGAAAUUUAAAAAAAAAUAAAUAAAAAAAAAAAAAAUUGAAAAGGAACUGUGUGGAGGCAGGAAAGUGGAAUAGAGAACACCCUUUCCCUUGCAGGCUCUGCUUGCUGAUGACUGACUUAAAAUAUGCACAUAAUUGACAGAGUUCCGAGUAGCCUAAGUCACUUGCCCCAUUACAUGCCAAUAUCUUUGUAUGUGCCCUGUUUCAAGCUGUGAUGCUGCACAUACAUACUUAUAUCACCAUAAUCACUGCAAAACACUGAAGUGGUCAUGGUGGAUGGAUUAGCUCAUUAAAUAUUUAGCAAAUUACAUCAAUAUCUAGGUAAGACUGGCAAACAUUGGGAAUGAAGAGGAAAAAUACAAACUAUUUUUAAAGCUGUUCCUGUCACAGCACCCCCCCACCCCCCAUCCAAAAAAGUAUUUCAUAAAGAGUCAAACUUUUUCAAAUACUCACUUGACUUUCUUGAAAUUCCACUGAAAUUCCCAUGCAGUCAAAAGAUAUACUGCUUUGUCUUAUGUAUAUUUUCUAUGCCUGACAGCACUUGACAAAAGUUGGAGCUACUGCCACCAUAUUUUGUCAUGUUUCCCAGCUGUCAAUAAUUAUGUCUUUGGGGUAAAAGGCAUUGUUUGUGGAGACUCUAGUGCAGGGGUCCCCAAAAAUUAGAUCCCCAGAUAUUGUAGAACUACAGCUUCCAUGAUGUGUUGUCAUUGUAAAGGCACGCAGAGCAUCAUGGGAGUUUUAGUUCUACAACAUCUGGGGAUCUACCUUUUGGGCACCCUUGCCCUUGUGGUAUCAUAUAGAUCUCAGUGUUGAAUUUUCACAGGCUUCUGGCAGAUAAAGCACCAGGAGCUGAAGAGAAUCUAACAGAUUAAGCGAAAAAAACUAAAUAAAACUUAGCUUCCCCUGUACACCUAGGCAACUGCACUGCAAAUGGCAAUGUCACAAUCAGGGGUUUCUGGAAAAUAUGCAGAGACCCCAGAUGGUGACAUAACCACUUUAAUGUCUUUGCUGACUGCCAGAUGCAAAGGACAGAGCUUAUAACAAUGACUGAGCUAAGGGGGAAGCAUCCAAUCUCAGGAAGUGUGGAUGUCAACAUUUUAUUUUAUUUUCCACACCCUCACAAUACUUAUUUGUUAAAUAUAGUAGGUACUUAUUUGUUAAAUAUAAUAAUAAAGUAAACCUAUUUACAAUGGGGAAUGACAGUUCUCCUUUAAAUAAUGUAAAUUUACAUGUCUCCGUAACAUAAAAAUGUAAUGCAGUUGGUAACUGCAUAUUAUAUCCUGUAUAUACACUGAGGCUGGCUGCCGCUGUUUGCUACUUUGCACCAUACAUAGGGUUAUUUACUAAAUUGACAAUUCAAAGAGAAUUUCAUAUUUAAGGUCAAUAUAGCCAACUGGAAAAAUUUGCUAUUUUAGCGAUGCUUUCAUUUUAGCUACUCUGGCCUUAAAGGAACACUCUACUGCCCAAAUGGGCAAAACAUAUAUAAUUCACCGUUUAGUAGAUAUAUCCCAAUGUAUUCAUUUUGCAACUUUGCCAGCCCUAUGCCUUUUCCCUGGAAGAGACUUUCAAUCUUUUCACGGGACAGUCUUCCUCCAUGCAUGUGCGUGCACCUGGUGUGUGCAUGUGUUGGCUGAUGCGUGAGUGUGCACUUAAAGCAUGCUGAACUGAGGUCUAAUCUGAGGAGUGCGGAGGGAGGCAGGCACACUCAAGUAGAGCUAAUAGAUGCAGGAAGAAACCCUCCUGGAUGUUUGACAGCAAGGGGAGUUUAAUUAUUAAAAAAACUGCAAUUGUGGGACACUCUUCACCUAUAAAGUACUUCAGGAAGCUUUAUGGGUGUGAAGUGGUCCAUUAAAAUUUAACUUCACUUUGAAUUCUCACUUAAGUAAAGAACUCAGAUAGUGUUUGCUUGACUCAGCAUGAUGUGGAAAUGCCUAAGGCUGACCUUUAUACUUUUGCUGGACCAUAGCUUAAAUGGACACUUUAGUCACCAGAACAACUACAGCUUAGUAUAGUAUGUCCCUGCAGGCUUUUUAAUGUAAAUUUUUUUGUAGACUUUAGAGCGUGGAGGCGCUGACCUUGAUGCAUUGAUUCAAUGCAUUUUCUAUGAUGAGAAGCUGAAUGGCCAGGGUGGUGUUUGGCCUGCUUCCGCCCUGCCUCCUUGACUGAGGCUGACCACCUAAACGGUGGUUUUAGAACUAUAGUGUCGGGAAUACAACUUUAACAUGAACCUGUCAUGAAAACCUGAACUAAAGAUACAUUGUCUAAUCAAUGUAAAAUAUAAAAAUUUACUUACUUCAUCUCAAUUCCAGCACCUCUUUUUGACCUGACUUUCCUUCUCUCCACCUUAGCUCUGUCCGAAGCCUUCUUUGAUUCGCCCUGCUUGGAACGCAUCCACAAGCAGGGCAAAUCUCUUCAGUGAUGUCACUCUACUCCUAGGACUCCCUAGCCAGUGCUAAAAGCUCUAGAUAGGGAGUUUCCAUAGCAACCACAGUGCAUUGCUAUGGGAGGAGAGCAGAGGGAUUUUUUUUUUUUUUUGGUGCUGCCAUUUUUAUUAAAGUUGUUGUGAAGACUAAUCCAACAUAAUAUUAAGCAUUGAACUGCUGAGUCUCCUUAUUUUCAGGAAGGAAAACCUAAAAUUGCUAAAUAGGAAAACAGCCUUUCUCCAGAUUAUGCUGCUACUAGUCAGUAAAACUGCAUGCACAGGUUUUAUGGUAUUUCAGAUAGUCACAGGGUCAAUAUAGGGCUUGCCUAUUUUAGUUUUUAGAAAUUGAAAUUUGACAUUUUGGUUUGCUGGGCCUAUGUUGCCUUUCAGACCAGAUAGCAGCCCAGAAUUGAGAAUUACCACCAUCAUGGCAUACCUUCAUGGCAUAGCCGUCCAUAGCAGUGCCAGCAUGGGGAGUGCCUGGAAUGACAGGUAGUCCCCCUGCUGCCUGUAAUAAAGUAAAAUAAAGGUUAAAUGGUGUAAAAUAAAAUAAUAUAUACUUAGAUCAUAUAUUUAACCCUCUAAUUUUCCUAGACAGCAUAAAACCUGUACAUGGGGGGGUACUGUUUUACUCUGAAGACUUCGCUGAACAGAAAUAUUAGUAUUUCAAAACAGUUAAAUGUAUUACAACAAUGAUAUCAUCAGUGAAAGUGAAGAUUUUUGCAUUUUUCACAUACAAACGGCACUUACACUGACGAUAUAAUUGUUGUGAUAUGUUUUAAGGUAUUGAAACACUAAUAUUUGUGUUCAGCCAAAUCUCCUGAGUAUGACAAUGCCCCUCAUGUACAGGUUUUACAGGGUUUUCAAAAGUUACAGAGUCAAAUAUAAGGCUUGUGUUUCCCCCAUGAUGGCAUACCAUUUGCAAUAGUAGACAACACAAGGUAUUGCAAAUGGGGUAUGUCCUGUCUUUUUAGUAGCCACUUAGUCACAAACACUGGCCAAAACUGGCAUUGAAAUAAUUUUUUUGCAUUUUUCACACACAAACAAAUAUUAACGCUAACUUUGGCCAGUGUUUGGGACUGGGUGGCUACUAAAAAAGACUGAACAUACCCCGUUUGCAAUACUUUGGUCAAUUGCAUCCUAACACAAAUGGAGAAACUGUUCUCAUUCUGUUAGGACGAAAUUCGCAAGAUCACGGAUCAAAGGUGAGAAUUGUGGGAAAAUUGCUCUGACCACCGGAAAUGAAGCACACUUUGCUCCGCCGCUGGUCAUACCUUAAGAAACCUCCACAAGACAAAGUAGUCCCUACUACAAAGUAGUCUUAUGUUUUAAAGAAUACUAGAGCAGACAGGAAGAAAUGAAGAAAAGAUCCUGACAGGGGGAGAGAAGAGGAAUCUAUUAAAGAAAGGUAAGUUCAGCAUGACAGUGCAGCUUUAAGGGGUUAAUAUCAAAAUACACCGAGGGAAAUUGUGUGUGUGUGUAAGUAUUAGUCCAGUAGACAAGAUGCCAAAACCCUUUUUGCAGCAUGCAACAAUACCUUAUCAUGGAACAAACGUUCUAAUGCCUUUAAAGGGACACUAUAGUCACCCGAACAGCUACUAUACAGCUUAUUGUAGUUGUUCUGGUGAGUAAACCCUGCAGGCAUUUUCAUGUAAACACUGACUUUUCAGAGAAAUAAGGUAAGUUUUAUUGCCUCAUAAGGGGGGCAUGCCACCCAAUGGAGGUUGUAGCACUAUAGAGUCAGGAUUACAUGUUUGUUUUCCUGACCCUAUAGUGUUCCUUCAAGGAGGUUAACUUCCCUUAUUGCACAGUGUGUUUCAUAUAAAUUGUCAUAUCUUCUGCCCUUUUAAUUUCAUGUAGACUGAUGGCUAUACUCCUCUGCCAUUUAUAUAUAAUAUAUAUAUUCUAUUUGUACGGGAUAAAGUCUGGAACAUCCCGAGAGGAAGCUGUUUCAUUAUUACGAUAAGUCAAAAUUUUGUACAGUUAUAUAUAGAGGUGUGGGUUUAACACACUCUGUUGCUUUUUUGUCACAUAUUGUACCAUUUAUUCACUGUAAAUAGGUGGGGACGGAAGCAAAUAUGGUUUAUUUGGAGAACAAAUAGCUUACGUUCAAACGUUUUCCUUUCUGUCAAUUUCAAUACCAAAAGAAAGAUACAAAAUGCAUCAUAUAACAUUGGUUGAUACAAUAUGUAUGAAACGUUUUAAUGUAUCAGAAUGUACAUUUGCUUUAAGUGGAACUAUCACUUUUUUCAUGGCCUUAUAGCCCUGCAUGCCUUGUGAAUUAAAAUUAAAGACGUGAGAUUUUGUUAGUUAAAUAAACAGCAUAACAUAACAAAAAGUUUCACAAAUGAAAAUCCUGCUUUAAAAAGUAAGUGUCCAGACACACAAGGAUCAAUCCGAGCAGACCUUAUUGGAAAUGAAAAGGCAACGUUUUGAAUCAACAAAAAAGUCUUUAUCAAACUGAUAAAGACUUGCUUGUUGAGUUGAAAUGUUGUGACUCUUGUAUGCAGGGAUUGGCAACCUUCGGCACUCCAGAUGUUGUGGACUACAUCCCCCAUAAUGCUUUUACACACAUAAUGCUGGCAAAGCAUCAUGGGAGGUGUAGUCCAAAACAUCUGCAGUGCCGAAGGUUGCCUAGACCCUUCUCUCCUUACUGUCUAUGAAUUGAAGCUAUGUCACUUUUAUCUGUGAGGCACCUUGGAAAUAUUUUAUUAUAAUACAUUUGCAGUCCAUCAGCUGCUCUUUAAUUUCUUCUUUAAAGCACCACUCCACUGUUAGUCACUUCCAUGGAAAAGGGAAGGACUUGCAAAGGGUUUUGUUCAUAAGAACUACAGCUUUUGCAAGAAACAAUUGUCACCGUUUUUGUAUAUUUUUAAAGCAGGGCUGGACAAACUUGCUUUUAUUCUAGGUGCCAGCUAAAAAGGUUAGGAGCCGUUUUUUUUUCUAAACUAACACCACUUUCUUUGAUGACAAAAGAAAUUCUGAAAGGGAUUCUAUAGUCACCAGAACCACUGCAGCUUAAUGUAGUUAUUUCAGAGAAAAGGCAGUAUUUACAUUCUUGCCUAGUAACAGCUGUAGUGACAGUCACUCAGAUGGCCACUAAAGUGCUUCCUAUCACAGUGUGCAGCACGUACGUUGCGUGUAUCCACGCUCUGCAUGAAAGUGCUGAAUGGUCCCAAUAGAUAUACAUUGAUUCAAUUGGUGCAGCAUUUUGCUGUGUAUGUGCAAUAGCGUCCCAAUGCUAUUCUAUGGGAAAGCGUUGGAUUGUAUGAGAUCAUCAAGCUUGCUAGCCACAGCGAGACUGGCAUGGAGUGGGGAAAAAAGGUUAGUAAAAACACCUUACCCAUGCGAUCAGAGGAGGGCAUGUCACCUAAACAUACACACUGACAGACACACACAUUGACAGACAAAUAGAUAUACACACAUACACCAACUGACACACAUGUACACAAAGACAGAUUCACAGACACACUCACUGACAGACAGACACUCACAUUCUCUAACACACCCACACAUUUUAAUUUAUUUUAACUCAAUGUAAGUCCACCCAGCCUUCCUACAUAUGGGAGAGUUGGAGUGGAUGGCUUUCCCUAGGGUCCAGGGGGGCUGCGGUUAUCUUCAAGCUCUUUUUGCUCUGCUCACUUGUGCUCUAUGUAGUGAAGCCGGGGCUGGAGUGACGUCAUAUUCCGGCAUCACUGAGGGCGCACGAAAGAACAGAGCAAGAAGAUUACAACUCCCUCGCUGGCUCUAUUUCUUACAGAUGGCCUCCCGCCUGUACUCUCCCUCAGCCGUCCUCCAGCUUUGGAGGGAAUAGGCUGACAAAUAUCCCAUAUUCCCAGGUGCCUGGAAUUUAUCGAGCUCUGUUGUAAAAGGCUCCAUAUGGUGACAUUGCUGCUGGUAGUGCAGAUUUUGAGGGGUGCAAUGAAAGGUAUACUUACCAGAAUCUGUAGCCUCUGGCUUCUGCCAUCCGCUGUCUUCAUUACCUGGCACUUUAAUCUUCUGUCUUCAGCACCUGUCUUCUGCUAGGUGCUAUGUCAGUGCUGUAAUCGUGCACAUUUACAGAGAUUACUAGCGACUACUGGUGGAAUUGACAAAACUUCAGGGAGGAAUCUUAGGGCUUUAUCGUAAGACAAAGUUAGUUUCUACUUUGUCUUAUAUCUUUUGAUUUGUAUUGGAAUGUAAAUGAAAUUCCAAUACAGUCAGCUUGAGUAUUUCAUAAAGUUUUUAAACAUUUUUUAUGUGAGGUGAUUGAGCCACUUUAGGUUCAUGAAUAAUGAUGUCCCGAACGGUUCGCCGCGAACGGUUCGCCACGGACUCAUCAGUGAGUAAACUUUGACCCUGUACCUCACAGUCAGCAGACACAUUCCAGCCACUCAACAGUAGACCCUUCCUCCCAGACCCUCCCACCUCCUGGACAGCAUCCAUUUUACAUUCAUUGUGAAGCUGCAUUCUUAGUGAGCUGUCCAGGAGGUGGAAGGGUCUGGGAGGGAGGGUCAGCUGCUGAUUGGUUGGAAUGUGUCUGCUGACUGUGAGGUACAGUGUCAAAGUUUACUCAAUAAUGAGUCCGCGGCGAACCGUUCGAGACAUCACUAUUCAUGAACCCUCUCAUAUUCUAACAUUUCUAGCUUUUUAUAGAUUUUUUAUUGCAAAGUUUUCAAUAGCAUAAAAAUUAUUACAAGAGGGAAAAUACUAGGACGAAAGAAACCAAUAAAGCAGUUUGCAGUAAAAGGGGAAAUAAUUAAAAAUAAAUAAAAACAAGUCACCAUGCCUAUACAUACCAACUGUUGACCAAGAUGAAUAUAGGAAAGGACAUCCAGUACAGAUCGGGGUUGGAUUUAUUAACCAUGACACUAUUAUACAAGAUGCAAAUAUACAGGGGAGCCAAGGAUCCCCAGCUUCUUUUAGUUUUACUUACUUUUACCCUUUGAGCAGUCAGUAUGCCAGUAUUCUUCCCCCCUGAAAUGCUGACAUUCAAGGAUAUUUAGGCCUGCUUCUGAUUAAAAUAAUUUUACUAAAAUUCAGCUCAUUCAGAAUAUGUCAAGGUGGGUUUGCAAAAUUUGAAUGGUAAUUUAAUGACUAUUUUUAGAACUGCUUUUGUAAUGAUUUACAUUUUAAACAAAAGAAGAAUGUAGCUUAGUAAAUAACCUGUUAGUCUUGUGAGUUCAUGCUGGUAGGUGUAGUAAGGGUUACGGUUGGAGCAUUUUAGAGAUAGUGAAUCAUGUUUAUAAAUUAUUAAGAUCUGUUUGCCAAACUGCUGGCUCAGUCAUUUUCCGUCAUCAUUACCAGAUGUAAAACUAGCAGACACCUUUGUACACCAGGAAAUCUGAUAAUCAUAAAACCCAAAUUGCAACUGAAUUUAGAAAUCAUUUUGGAUACACACAUGUGGAUUGGGCUCAUAUGUGUCACUAUUUCUGUGAAACCGAUGUUGCUUUAAAUUCCUUCAAAUUACGCACAAACCUUUUCUAAAAGGAUACAUGAAACUGCUGUGACUGAUACUUUAAAUAAGACUUCCUAGAACUUUGUGAGGCUGCAAAGUUUGUCAUUGUUACAUCAACUGGUUCAAUCAAAUAUUAUAAUGUAGUGUCACUCAUAUUUAAACGUAGUUUCGGUUAAAUGUACCAACACAACUUUACCUUAAAGGGAUACUUUGGACCUCUUAAGCACUUUAGCUUGCUGAAAUGAUUUAUGUGUGAAGAGUGUUUUCUCUAUUUUUCAUUUUACAAAAAGUGCAAAUAUCAAUAGAAAUUGCCACUUUUAUUAAAGGGACACUAUAGUCACCAGAACAACAUCAGCUUAUUGAAUCUGUUCUGGUGAGUAGAAUCAUUACCUGCAGGUUUGCUGUAAACACUGUCUUUUCAGAGAAAAUGCAGUGUUUGCAUUACAGCCUAGUGACAACUUCACUGGCCACUCCUCAGAUGUCUGUUAGAGAUCCUUCCUGGGUCAUGGCUGCCUAAAAUGCAUCCAAACAUUCAGUAUCUCCUCCCUCUGCAUGCAGACACUGAACUUUCCUCAUAGAGAUUCAUUGAUUCAAUUCAUCUCUAUGAGGAGAUGCUGAUUGGCCAGGGCUGUGUUUGAAUUGUGCUGGCUCUGCCCCUGAUCUGCCUCCUUCUCAGUCUCAGCCAAUCCUAUGGAGAAGCACUGUGAUUGGAUCAGGAUACCACUUCUGAUGAUGGCAGCAGACAGCUUGUUUUUCUGCGACAAACAGCAUGCAGCGUUACAGCUUCUGACUUGAAUACAGUAAGAUUUUCCUAUAUUUAUGGAGGCAUGAGGGGCUCAGGGGGGCUAGAUAGUGGUUUUAACACUAUAUAGGGUCAGGAAUACAUAUUUGUGUUCCUGACCCUAUAAUGAUCCUUUAAUUUUGUUACAUAUCCCUGACUGUCCAUCAAUCAGACAACAGGUCCUGCUACUUUCUGGUUUGUUUAGUUCAGUGAAGCUAAACAAAUAAUUUCCCACAUUAGUUUGUAAAGACUUUUAAUUUAGCUGCAUUGUAAAGUCUGUGAUUGGGCAGCCACGGUCUGAGCAGGGCUAGAAGGGGAGGGAGUACAGAGGCAACAUACAAGAGAACUGCAGCUUUUGCAAGCUUUUUUUAGAUAUACCCCCAAUUAAAAAAUGCAUAAUUAAAGGGACACUACAGGCAAUCAGAUCACAUCAGCUCAUCGAAAUGGUCUGGAUGCAGUAUCCCUGUCCCCCUUAGUCCUGCAAUGUAAAACAUUGCAGUUUUUAAUAAAACUGUAAUGUUAACAUUUUAGUACCAAGACUGCCUCUAGUGGCUGACUACCAGAGACGCCUAAAUGAUGCUGGACAUCUCUGGUAGACAGCCACUAGAGGCAGUCUUAGUACUAAAAUGUUAACAUUACAGUUUUAUUAUGCAUGAGGACAUAAAGCAUCAGUGAAAUAUCCAUAGGAAAGCAUUGAUUUAAUAUAGAUUUGUAUUCCAAACACUAUAGAAUCCCUUUAACCCCUUAAGGACCAAACUUCUGGAAUAAAAGGUAAUCAUUACAUGUCACACAUGUCAUGUGUCCUUAAGAGGUUAAAUGCAGGCAUGUUUUCAUUUGGAGUAUAUCUACUAAAAAGUAACUUUAAUGUAUUUAUUUUGUGUGUGUAUAUAUUUUUUAUUUUUUUCUUAAAUUCUAAAUUUUUGAUGGGCAUCAAGAGAACAUGGAUAAUGUACAUAUUCAAGAUAAUAAAACACAUAUAAGGUUAUCCAGCAAACAAUACAAGGAAACUGCACUUUUGAGCAAAGGUUACUCAAUGCAUAAAAAUUGUCUUAGAUAGGGAGUAGGUCAGGAUAAAUGCAUUGGAUGUUUAGACAGGCUAUAGUAGUUAACAGGCUAGUUUAGCAGAGUGAGAGAGUAGGAGUACACACAGGAGAUCCCUGCAAUGGGCAGCCAGGAAGUCAGACCCCGAAGCAAAUAAGGCAUUAGAUGGAGGGAAAGAAAUUAGCAGAAAAAUGUAAAAAUAGCUUAAAACAUAAGUAAAAGUAAAUAUGAUCUGAAGGUUACUGGGCUAUGGUGAGUCUGCCAUCCAGAGUCUCCUUCUCACAUCAACCUUUGCCCCUCUGGGGAAGGCCGCAGGCACAUUUUGGUAAAGUGGUCGCCAGGUCCAAGGUCCCUUCCUCAAGACAGUGUAGCAAGCCUCCAAUCAACAGCCUACAUAAUAGACCAGGCAUCCAACGAGUGUGUUAGAGUCCCUUCACUAUACCCACCUUUGACAUCCUUUUAGUUCUAGGCAUAGAGGCUCUUUGCAGUUGAAACACUGCCUUGAAUGGGUAGAAUAAAGGUACUCUAACAAACCAUUUGAGUGUCUGAUUUAUUCGGUAUAUAUUUUUGUUUUUCCAAAAAAAAUCUUGCCAAAUUAAAGGAAAAGUGACCUUAAAAUGUUUUUUUUUUUUUAAAGUUAUGACAUUUAAUUAGUGAUGUCCCGAACGGUUCGCGGAAUGGUUUGCGAACGGUUCGCAACGAACGGUUCGCCGCGGACUCAUCAAUGAGUAAACUUUGACCCUGACCUCACAGUCAGCAGACACAUUCCAGCCAAUCAACAGCAGAACCUCCCUCCCAGACCCUUCCACCUCCUGGACAGCAUCCAUUUUAUAUUCAUUGUGAAGCUGCAUUCUUAGUGAGCUGUCCAGGAGGUGGAAGGGUCUGGGAGGGAGGGUCUGCUGCUGAUUGGCUGGAAUGUGUCUGCUGACUGUGAGGUACAUGGUCAAAGUUUACUCAAUGAUGAGUCCGCGGCGAACCGUUCGCGACAUCAACACAUUUAAUGAAAUGUAAAUGUUUCAUUGAAUGUAAUUAUUAUAUUAUAUUUAUAUAGCACCAACAAAUUCCGUAACGCUUUACAAUAGGUGGACUAACAAACAUGUCACCCCCUCCCUCAGUCACACUGUCAUCCCCUCCAUUUUGUUGGGAAAAAAGUCAUUUCUGUUUUGGUUUCAGUUUUCGGCCAAGGGCAUACUGAAUUUUCGGUUUUGGCCCAAAAUUAGAAUUUUGGUGCAUCCCUACUGGUUAUAGCUGGUUGUUAAGAGUCGUAAUAUCUUUAUAUUUUCAGUUAACUCUACCAUUCAUACUUCAUAUUCAACAAACAAAUGAAAAUUUAGGGCAUGGGAACGUAGAGUCAGUAUGUAUCAUUUUUAGGAUGUGGCGGACGUAUAAGGUUCUUUCCGAGAGGAGGAGGAAAUUUUCCAUAGUAUGAACAGUCUCAGCUCAGGGAGGCAUUAUAGAUUCUACGGGACCCAUUUAACAUGCCGCUUUUCUAAUUUGAUUGGCUAAAUUUAAGUAUGUAUUCAGUGUUAAAAGAUGUAGAUAAUAUUCAAUGUAGAGAUUUUAUUCCAGUUAGACUAUAUAGCUUUGUGCAAAGAAAUCUUGUCUGCAUUUCUAUAGAACCCUUUUUCCAUUUUGGCGUGAUAUUUUAGCUGACCCGCUAUAUCUGACCACUUAGGCGCUAGAGGUACCUUCUAGUUUCUUGCUAUUAUAAGUUUUAUGGCCAUAAAUAUAUGUAUUAGGAAUGCUUUUUGUUCAAAACUACAGAUGGGGAAAAAACAGAUAAAAUAGGAAUGUUUGAGGGGAUAGCUCUUCUUGUAUAUGCAAAGCUUUGAACAUUUGUGCUAUGUUUUCUUUAAUCUAUGUUAAGCCAUUGAAUUUCCACCACACAUCGUAUAAUGUUCCUAUAGAGGUAGCACAUUAGCAACAGAUGUCUAAGUAAAGAAGUUUGAAUUUCUAGAUUCUGUAAGGAGUAAGGUACCAUCUAUGACUAAUUUUGAAGAAAGUUUCAUGCAAACUGAGACUAAAUGGUUUAACCUAUGGGCAAUACCUUCUCAAACAUGAGUUUGACAAGGGACUGCUCAUUAUAUAAACGAUUAAGUGGUUUUUUUUCCAGAGUCUCCAACACUUAACGGGCCUCUGCAAGCUAAAACAGAUCCUCAUUUGCAAUGCAUUGUAAAGAUAAUACAUAACCAAAUAAGUAAUCUAAAUAAAUAGAAAAAGAAAACUCACAUUGGAAACCAAAGAAAUCAGAAUGUACCUUUCCUAUAAACUCAUAGCCUCCGUUUACAGGAAAGGUACAUUCAGAUUACUCUGCUUUUCAAUGUGAGUUUUCUUUUUCUAUUUAUUUAUUUGGAUUACUUAUUUGGUUAUGUAUUAUCUUUACAAUGCAUUACAAACACGUAUCGGUUUCAUCCUGCAUAGACCCUUUAGAUGUUGGAGACACUGAAAAAAACACUUAAUGGUUUAUCCUAUGGGCAGUCCCUUCUCAAAUGCAUGUUUUCUUUGGGAUUAUAUAAAAACAGCUUGCAGGAGCUGCAGACCUGGUGUAUGUAGUCUUUGCAAAUCCCCCCUCUUCUUCCAGCACAUAUCUUAAGUCUGUGCCAGGAGCCUCUUUCCUAUGCUUCUCAAUGAGCUGUAGUAUAGCUCUGUGGAGCUAACAAUUGCAGUAGAAACUUAAUUUUGUCAUUCAGACAGCCAGGGAGGUGUUUCUGUCCCACAUUUUAUAAAAUGUCUCAAAUAUGACAGACUACAGAUGCAUAAAGCCCUUCAGCCAGCUGACGUGCUUCAUGUGCCUGGAGUGUUUCUUUAAAGGAUUACUCCAACCAUUUUUCACUAUAUAGUGUUUUACAUUUAUUUUGCCCUGUUUGGCACUAGUCAUUCUGCCUUCUUCUAAUUGUUAUUGGAAAACUCAUAACAUUUGCUUUAUAGUCACCUGGAAUCCAACACCAGGCGAAGUUUUCCUUGUUCUUUUCCACGGCCUUUCCAUCGUCCAGGCACAUCACUUCUUCCCUCUCCAAGGCCUAAUCAAAUGAUCUGAACCUUUAAAAAUGGUCCAGUCAAAUAGAGAAGCAUUUGAUGUCACCAAUCUCACAGGUUUAGAGCGCAUGCAUUUGCUCUGGAGAGGGGAGGGAGUGUGUGGGGGGUGGCGGGAGCUGGGGAAGUUGUUCAAAGCCUGGGUAAUUAAAAAUAAAAUAAAAUAACAGACUUAUUAAAUGAUGUAGAGAGGUGGGAAGGGUUGGGGGAUUGUACUAGAGAAGGAGAAAGGGGACAUACAAGCUUCUUUAAACAGGCAUUCUCACAAUGCUGACUGCAAGAAUAGAAUCUGAUUAUGUCUGUGAUCGUGUUAAAGGCUCCAUGCCCAGAGGCACAUAAAUAGCAAAGUGUAAGAAGUACUUACAAAGAAUAGAGUAGUGAAAGGGCACUCUAAGCAGGAAGACAACUUUUAGCUUAUUGAAGUUGUUUUGGUAUAUAUAUCAUGCCCAUGUAGUUUUACUGCUCGAUUCUCUACCAUGUAGGAGUUAAAUCAGUUUAUUUAUGCAAUCCUAGCACAGUUUGUUUACUUAAAGAAAUAUACAUCCCUUGACUAUUUUUAAACCAAUACACAAACCAAACUUAAAGGAACACUAUAGUGUUAGGAAUAAAAAAAUUGUAUUCCUAACACUAGUGUGUCCCAUUCCCAAUCCUCGUGGGCCCCUCCGGCUGCAAUAAAGGGUUGUCUGACAGCCAAGAUGGCCGGAUGCACUUGAUUAUAGCUCCACGCCAGGUACAACUUAUCUGAUCCAAGGGGCUGAUCUGCAAUCGAAGCGGCACAAAACGGUACCCGAAUCUUGAAGCUCCGUCUGCAUAAACCGGAACCUGGCAGUGUGGCCUAGUCCGCAACGUGACAAGCAGGGAAACCGCGGGAGAGACGGCCACUCUCUCACGGCGACACCAUCCAACAAACUUUAACGUGUGUCUUCCCCCCCCCCUCUCCCCCCUUUGGACCGGUGGGGGUUAUCCCUGUCCCCAUCAACACAGGGCAAACUGCAAAACAAGCUCCGGCUACUUCCUACUGCCAGAGCUACACUGCCAGCAGGCCACACAAGAUGGCAUCAUCGUCCCAUUGGCAGAAGCCCGUGCUAACACACCAUGACAAUAACCCGGUGGAGCAGUACAUUGAGCAACUGGACAGUAUCUUCCAAAGGUUUUGGGAGUUCCGCAGCAAACAGGAGCAGCCUAAUCCUGAGAGAGUGGUGAAGGGGGUCGAGGAAUGGAGUUGGGGAAGGCCUCCAUCGGGCGAACCCCAUAGAGCAGCUAACACUGUUUGUCCUAAAUGCCUUCCUAGGCCGAAGGCCACUCAGAGGAAGCCUCCACGGCACCGACCACACCGCCGGAAGCCCGACCGUCGCUGGUGGCGGCAGAACAUCCGAGCUCUCCAUGGCGCCCAACAGAGGUUCUAUACAGAGUCUGUGGACUGCAGGUGCUGGCAUUGGAGGGCGGCCUCCAUAUACAGGAAACUCACCAUCCUCCUAUGGACUCUCCCGGCUCAAGGUGCCAUCCUACCCAGCAGGGGUAUUGGCUGACUGACUGUUGAUUCUUUAACCCGCAGUCCCGCUAGAUAACGCUCCCAGCUGAGAGCCUGCGUAUCCUUCUGGAAUCCAACCUGAACUGUCCGAACUGAUACUCUCGAUUGUGCUCCCACCUAGCAGACACGCUCAUUUUGUUGUUUUUUUGCAGUUUUAUUUUGACUGGCUCCGGGAGGUUGGUGGUUAACCUAGCAUGUUAACCUGAUUUUAAUAUUCUCUUUUUUAAAACAUGACAUGCUCGAUGUCAUGUCCUUGACUGCUCUAACACUUGCAUUCUAUGUCACCUAGUUCUGGUUUUGUAAGAUUAUAGCUUAAACCUUAAUUACUGUGACAGUGUCUCAUUAUAUGACAUGAAUGUCCUGGCAAUAUGUUACAACCUAAUGGUUAGCACUGUCACUCUGUAUGCGAACCUCUCCAGUGGUCAGUUUUGUUCUUAUAUUAUAUAAGCAUGUUCCAUUGCAUCUAUACAAAGUUAUGUGCCUAGUUCAUCCUAACUGACCAUUUAGCGUUUCUGACAUACAUCACCAUGUAAUCCCCAGCACCUUCCAACUCCGUAGACAAGCAAAUCUAACCUGACAUCCUAUAGUUCAAUAAUGUGCAGUUUAGCAUGUCGCCCUAGGCCACCGAAUUAAGCUUGUCUUGUCAUGCUAUUUCUCACUUGUUAUUAAUCACUAUGUCUAACGUACCUCUCGUAUCUACCCGCCUAGUUUAAGCCAGUGUUUUAGACAUAUUUACCUAGCUUGAUUUUAUUAACAAAAAUUGUGCCAAUAUUGAAGGCCAUGAUAUUGUUUACUCUGUACAUUUUCCUUCGCUUGUACCUGCUGUUGUGGCAACACAAGCCUGUUUGUUAAACCGAGCACUGAAAAAAAUAAAGAUUGACAAAAUAACACUUUUUCCACUUGAUUCCAGCUCUGAUGUCCCUUGGCACUGGGUUGGGCUUUUCUUCUGCUGACGUGACAGCUAUUUGGGAAUCUAAUGCGCAUGUGCAGCGAGUGCUGCGCGCUUUAGGCCUUCCCCAUAGGAAUACUUUGAAUAAAUGUUUUCAUAUGGAGAUUUUCUAGAUGCUGGAUUUUUUCAUGUAAAGUGAGUCAAACUCCAUUAAACUGCACGAAGUGCCUCUAGUGACUUUCUGGUACUAGUCACUAGAGGCAGUCUUAACCCUGCUAUGUAUAUGUUGCAGUUUGUCUAAAAAUGCAUUGUUUUACAUUGCAUGGUUAAGGGGACAGGGACACUGCACCAAGAAUACUUUAAUGAGAUGAGGUGGUCUGUGUACUUAUAAUGAAGGAAAAGUUUGAAAAAUAUGUUCUAAGCAUUUGUAAACAUUGUCAGAUUGCAUUAUUGGGCACGCCUCUCUGCUAAGGGAGUUUCUGCUGCUCCACCCCCCCUUUUUUACCAAAACAUCUUCGUUUUAUACCAGUCGACUUAGGACAGAAACUGAUCAUCAUUGUGCAGCAGCAGGAGAGAAAAACCUGACAAAGUAGCCUACACAGUAUCAUCAAAUUUUUCCAUCAAUCCUAGGGAAAAGACACUGGUUAAGAUCAGUGACCCCCUGGAGUGGGUGUGGAAAGCAUAAGAAAAAAGCAAGUGAAUUUGGAAAAAAGAGAAAUACAAGUUAUAUUUACCUGCUUUUUACCCCCCAGUGAGGCUGCUGUCUCAUUCAAUGCUAAAGCUUUCUGAGUGAGACCGUUGUCUCAAAGUCUUUUUUUUUUUUUUUUAAAUCUCCUGUUCUGUUAAUUGAAUUUUAUUAUUUUAUUUAUGUAGCACCAGCAAAUUCCAUAGCGCUGUACAAUGGGUGGACUAACAGACACAUAAUUGUAACCAGACAAAUUGACGCACAAGAACAGAGGGGUUGAGGGCCCUGCUCAAUGAGCUUAUGUGCUAGAGGGAGUGGGGUGUAGUGACACAAAGGGUAUUACUAGGGGUAAUGAAAUAGGUUGCUAGAAAAGUAUUCACUGAGAACUUUGGUUCUAUUUGACAGUUGCAGGAGAGGAAUCAUGGGGGGGGAGAGGUGUUGAAUGAAAACCCGCUAACAAUUUAAAUGCUAUGCCUUCCUGAAGAAGUGUAUUUUCAAAGAUUAUUGAAGGAGUGGAUGAAAGUCUAACGGAGAUGUGUAGGGAGUUCCACUGAAAAGGUGCAGCCCUGGAGAAGUCUUGGAGGCGAGCAUCAGAUGUGGGAGUACGGAUAGAGGAUAGAUGUAUGUCUUCGGCAGAGUGCAGGGGCCUCGGGGCACCAGAAACUUAAAUUGAACCCUAUAUCUAACUGGAAGCCAAUGUAGGGACUGACAGAAGGGUGAGGCGUGGGAGGUGCGGGCGGGCGGACAGGAAAAUGAACCUCGCCGCUGCAUUCAUUAUAGAUUGCAGCAGUGCAGUCUGGGAACACCUAAGACUGCUGAGAAGGGGAUUGCAGUAGUCAAGGCGAUAAAGAACAAUGGUAUGGACCAGCACCGUAGCCGCGUCUGGUGUUAAGUAAGGGCGGAUGCGAGCUAUAUUUUUUACAUGGAAGUGGCAGGAUUUGGCAAUAGACUGAACAUGAGGCGUGAAGGAGAGCUCGGAGUCAAAGAGAACACCUAGGCAGCAAGCCUGCGAGGUAUAGGUAGUGGUGGCACUGUUGACUUGGAGGGAGACAGACACGGAAGUAGCAACACUUGAGGAAGGAAAGACCAGAAGUUCUGUUUUAGACAGGUUGAGUUUAAGAAAAGUGAGCUGCCAUCCAAGUGGAAAUCGCAGAGAGGCAGUUAGAGACACGAGUCCAGAUGGGCGGACAGAGAUCAGGAGAGGACAGGUAGAUUUGUGUGUCAUCUGCAUAUAAAUGAUAAUCGAAGCCAAAGGAGUUUACCAAAUGAAUUUACCAAGGGAGGCAGUGUAGACUGAGAACAAUAGGGGGCCAAGGAGAGGGGUUGGGGAGAAGAGGCAGAGCCAGAGAAAGAAACACUGAAAAAGCUCUGGGAGAGGUAGGAGGAGCAUCAGGGAGAGCAGUAUCUCAUAGAUUACAGAGAAUGAGAUGAAGCUGAUGAUCAACAGUGUCAAUGGCAGCAGAAAGAUCAAGGUGAAUUGGGAUAGAGUAAUGGCCGCGAGAUUUAGCAGCGAUUGGAUAGUUUGGUCACAGCUGCUCGGCAGAGUGACGAGCGCGGAAUCCAGACUGAAGCGGGUCAAGCAGAGAGUUGAAUUUGAGGAAGUCUGUCAAUCUUGCAUACACAACAAGGAUCUUGGAGGGAAACGGCAGUACUGGCCCAGCGGAGUACUGGGAAAUUUCCCGGUGGGCCGCAGCACCCGGGCUGGGCAGACAGCUGGUGCAGUUGCACUUAGGCUGCUGACUGCCGGAGGGAGGCCUGUGCUGUCUCUGCUCCCCCGCCCUCAAACUCUACUUAAUGAGACCGGGGACAGGAUAUGCGGCAGAAUAUGCUGCUCCAUAUUCCGGCCCCGGUCUCAUUAAGCUGCGCGCUGGGGAGCAGAGACCGCACAGCUCCCUAUUCGCGCCUACUAUGCAAGCAGCCAGCCGUCCGCCCUGCACGACCACCCAGCAUGCCGCACACAUCCAUAAUCCUCCAACUUGUUAUGCCUGCCUGAACGAUCCCCCAGCAUACCGCCCGCCUUCACAAUCCCCUGGCCGGUCACCCACUGGACCCCACAGGUAUCAAGACAAGCAAUAAUGUAUGAGUGUAUGGGUCUGUCAUAGUGUGUCUGUAUGUCACACCUUCUGUUGGCAUAUGAUUGGCUGCAAAAUGCUGCACCAAUCAGCAUCUUCUCAUAGAGAUGCAUUGAAUCAAUGUCUAUGGGGCACGUAGCUCAACUAAUCGGUGCAUACCGCUCAUGAAUUCUGUUAGAUUGUUUUGGAACAGUUUGAUAAAGCCUGGGGUUCUCCACUGCAUAUAUAACCAGAUCCCUCUAAAGUGAGGUUUUAGAAGCAUAUCAUCAUAUCUGUUCCAUUGUAGGUGUGGCAUUGUGCCAAUUACUUGUUUGCAGGAAAAAGGGUGGCUACAGAAUAUCUAGACCAGGUUUAUUAUAAAACUUUGCUGUAGGGAGCAUGUGUGUGUUAGUGAGCUUUUCUGUAUGGAGCAUGUGUGUGUCAGCGAACUUGUCUGCAGUGAGCAUUUGUGUGACAGUGAGCUUGUCUGUAGUGAUCUUGUGUGUGACUGAGCUUGUCUGUAGGAAGUGUGUGUGUGACAGUGAGCUUGUCUGUAGAAAGCUUGUGCGUGUCAGUUUGUCUGUACUUUGUGUGUAUAUCAAUAAGCUUGUCUGUGUGUGUCAGUGAGAUUGACUGUCCAUGAGCCUAUGUGUGUGCAUCUCUGAUCUUGUGUUUCUAUGUCAAUGAGCUUAUGUAUAUCAGUGAGUUUGUUUGUCUAUGAGGCUAUGUAUCAAUGAGCUUGUGUGUGUCAGUGAGAUUGUCUUUGUCUGCGUGUGAGUAUGCUUACUGUAUACUUAAACGUUUUACUCUGAAAGCACCAAUUUUUUAUAUUAGAAAAAUAAAUAUAUAUUUAUGUUGUGUGUAUAUAUAUUUCUAUAUAUGUGUUUAUAUAUAACUCAAUUAUCUGGGGUGGCAAGACAUAGCCUUACAUAUUACAUGUGACAAUAUAUGUCGCAAUGACUUAUGGGGCUGGCAUAGAUUUUUUCCAGGGCUGCUUUGUAUCCCCGUCCGACCCUGGCAGUAGCAAUGUAGGGCGGUAGUUGGAUGGGGAGUUGGGGUCGAGGUUGUGCUUUUUCAGAAUCGGCGUUAUAGUUCCAUGCUUGAAGGGUGAAGGAAAUGUGCCGGAGGAAAGGGAGAGAUUAAAAAUUUUAGUGAGAGGAAGAGGAAGAGCAAGAGAGGGAAACGGAAUGUGGACGAGAUAUGAAUAAAUAGGAUCAAGGAAAAAAGGUGGUGGGGCGGGAGGACCGGAGCAGUGCAGAAACCUUUUCCGUUGUAGUAGGUGUGAAUGCGCAUAGAACAGUGGAGUGAGUGGGGUUGGGUGAUGUACUGGAAGAUGUGUUGGAAUGGUUUGGGAGAGAGGUUAGAGAUCUCUUCCCUGAUUGUAGAAGCCUUUUCAGUGAAGUGAGAUGCAAAGUUUGAGGUGGACAGGGUGGUAGGGGGAGGGGGAGCAACAGGGUGAAGGAGAGAUUUCAAAGUGUAAAAUAGGCAUUAGGGUUGGCGGGACAGUGUGCUUAUGAGGGUGUUGAAAUUAUUUCUACUUUUGCAGAGGAAAGAGCCAGAGUGUAGGAACGCAGCAUAAGUUUAUAGUGGAGGAAGUCCGGUGCAGAGUGAGACUUUCUUCAACAACGUUCAGCAGUUCUGGAACAUUUUUUUGAGAUAUCGGGUCAGCUUGGUGUGCCAGGGUUGUAAUUGGGAGCGAUUGCUGCAUUUAAAUGUAGGAGGUGCCAUGAUGUCAAGUUGAGAGGAGAGAGUGGAGUUGUAGAUUGAGGUUGCAGAGUUAGGGCAAGUGAGAUUUGAGAUGGGUAAAAGGAGAGUUUGCUGGAGAUCAAAGCAGUGGAGGUUUCUAUGAGAUUGGAGAGUUGAGGGUGGUGAAAUUUGGGUACGGAGUAUGCCGAUGUCAAAAGAUAUUAACACAAGACUCCUGCAGGCUGUUCACAGAGCAGGAUAUAAGAAAUUUGAAAUUAAACAGCCUGUGCAAUAAAGGAUGUUUAAACAUUUGAUCUCUCUUUACAAGAAAUGCGUAGGGAGACUAGAUUACAGAUAGGGGAGGUGUUGGUAGGGCUGUAUAAACAAACUUAUUAAACUUAGAUAUGACAGAGAAUUGAACAGUUAGACUGGAGGGGCAAGCUCUAUACACAGAAACCACUCCAUUAAACUAAAGUAGUUUUGUGCUUCGAGUGUCCAUUUAACCUUUAUGACAGUGGUUGGACACACCUAAAAAGGCUUCUGUCAAUAAAUGUUUAGUAUACAACUCAUUUAAAACUUUAAACCAUAUACUUUUGCAACACAAACAACCCGACUUGCAAAAGAAAAAGGGUCUCAAUUGGCAUUAUAGAGAUUUGUAAUCUACCUUUAUUUCUUUAUUUAAAAUUGGACAUUGACAAAAUAGGGGCAAGCAUUGGGCAAGAUGAAGCUUAAGGCCUUUCAUGCUUUAGUGACAGUUCAUCAGAGACGCAUCAUAUAGUUAUGCAUUUCAAAAAGGGAGCUAGGUUUAUGACAUCCUGAACGUGUCACAGACAAUGAUCUACAUCAUAAAGGUCUUGUCAGUUGUCACUAAUGACUACUGAACUGUGAAUGCAUUAGCAGUAAGAUGUGAGCUAUCUAACUGAGCAUGUGGAGCUAAGAGGUUCUGCUUUUGGAAAUACAAAUGGAUAAAGGAAGACAAUAUGAAAGUCUGCUGAGAUGCACUUUUCAAACUUUUUUUUGUUCAAGCUUUUGGUUCAAGUUAUUGUGGGUCAGUGAUCAUCUUGCAGGGGAAAUGUAUGCUGCAAAAUAAUCUGUGUGAAAUAAUAGAUGAAUUAUCGGUAAGCACGUAAAAAAUAUUUACUAUUAUAAAUGCUAAGGAAAUCAUGAAAAUUGUGCAUUAGAAGAAAAUUUUUCAGGCACAGCUGUUUAGUUAUCGAUGUACAUCACAACUAUACAAGUUCUGGCAAGACAAUCCUUAUUUGGGACUCAGUAUUUUAAAUGUAUAUAACUGCAUACAGGUUGUUGUCUAUACUCUAGAUCAGUGGUUUCCAAACCAGUCCUCAUGACCCAGCAACAGUCCAGGUUUUGUCAGUGUCACCUUGCCAUAAAAACAGUAAAUACGUAAAUCCUAGAUUGUUGUUGGGCCAUGUGGACUGGUUUGCGAACCACUGUUCCUUUUGACCUAGCAAAGGAGACUCAAAGGCAGUUGAAUGUUAUGUAGCAGACCAAAAUAUUGGUUUGCCUGAGAAAUACUGCUUUCUCUGUUCUCCAAAUUUGUCUACUUUUUUUUUGUGUCAGAGCCCCAACUUGUUCUUGUUUUUUACCUUCUAUAUUAUAAAUACUAUUUUGCUGCAUUAGUUAUUCACGGUAUCAACCUAUAUUCAGAUUUAUAGAUGUUUCCUUAUAGAGAGACAUUUAUAUAUUCAACUAUAAGACAUGUAGGUGGAGUAACUGCAAAUAUAUUAAAAUAUAUACCUCUUUAGUUAGAUGUGAUGGUGUACCAGUAAAGCCCAAGAAGGUCAAAUUAAUGUACAGUAAAUAGCUUUUAAUCUAUGCAUUUGCUAGGAAUUUGAUUAGCACAAUGAAUAGAUUAAAUCUUCUUUUCUCUUUGAAACAACCCCGAGUCAUGUGGUUCGUGACAUGUGCGCCUUAAAAAAACAACAAAAUUAUCACUUGCAAUGUUUUUAUUAUUGAGAACUAAAAACCCCACUCCUCCAGCUGUUUGUAAUCUAACAGGAUAACUUUCAUUAAACAUUUUUAAUGUAACUUUAUAUUAGAAUAUGCAAUUUCUUAAUAGUUUUGAAUUCAGGUAUAUUGACAUUUGUCCAGUGCUCACUAUUUUGCAAACAACUGUUGUUUUUCAAAGUCAUGUGCUUUCUGCCUGCAGCAUUUUCAGUCAGGCAAUUUAAACAAAGUACAGUCUAUUGUAAAAUAGUGAGCAUUGAUUAGUAUAGCUGACAGUCUGACACAAGGUGCAUAAAGAUGACUGUCAGAAAGGGGUGACAAGUGAUUUCUUCAUAAAGGCCAAUACAAAUGAAGUAAAAAAUAGCGAUGAUGUAUAAUAACAAAUAUUAUAUAACAGUGUUAAAUCUGAUAACAGAUAAGUCUGACUCAAAUGGACGCUCGGCCAGAUAAAAAAGUGAAAUUUUCUAAAAAAAUUAUAUAUAUAUAUAAUGAAUUUAAUUUCAACGUGUCUGGACAUGGAUAUUCCUGUAGUUGAGCACUGUCUCUAAUCUGAAGGAAAAAGAAAGUUACAGAAAGUAAAAUUUUAUCUUUUUCUUUUAUAGUAACAUUUUAGAUACUGUGUGAAACUUUGUAAUAUAUAGAACACUGUAAACUGCCUAAAGCUUCAAGUUUACCUUUUUUUUUUUAUAAAGGAUAAAUGAAUAAGUGAAAAAGAAAAAUGAUGUAUAUUUACCAUAUUUUGGAAUAUAGGACACACCGGGAUAUAAAAUGCACCCAUAUGUUUUUAGUAGAAAUUUAGAAGAAAAAAAAUAGAACAUGCGCCAUGAUUACAGUUAAUUUUUGUAUAGAGUGAUGUAGCAAUUGUUUGUGUAUGUGAUGUGUGUUUAGGGAAUGCAGUAUGUGUAAGGGAUGCAUUAUGUGUUUAUAGUGGAUAUAGUGUGUGUAUAAGUGAUGCAGUGGGAUAGUGGCUGUGAUUAGUGGGAAGUGAGAGGAGCCACUUUAUAUUUUAUCCUUAUUUUUUAUUUGUAUAUAGCUUUAUUUGUUAUAUUUAUGUUAGUUGCCCCUCACUGUCUCUUACCUCUGGCCAGGGAAAGGGACACGGAAUUCACUGGUGGUCCGGUGGUAUUUUGUAGCCCCAAACUCUGCUGGGUACAAGUUCUUUUUGUGAGCCCUGGCUCGUCAGAACGUUGCCGUAGUAACCUAAGACAAAGCUCUAAUAGGCUGGGCCCGCGAAAAGGAGAGGCCCAGGCAGAGAUGCAGACAGAGAGUCUACAGGGCUCACUCUUCUUAAAGAAGCUUACAAUGGCAUGAUGAGGGAGAUCUUUGAUCUCCUUCACUUUGCCUUUAUUAUAUACAUAAUAAAGGUUGCGUUUGGCAUGUAGGACGCUGGUAAAAAUAUUUUAAAUUUUUUUUGCUCCCUGCAUUGUCUGCCCUCAAUUGGCCAACCUGGAUGAUUGACAAGCAGCUGACCUGCCAGUAAUUCAGACCGACCCAUCCCUUUUCCAAGCAUGUCUGCCCUCCUUUGGGUGGAGCCAAAGAUACAAAGAUCACCGGCUCGCCACUUUAACGUUUUUUAAGCUCUUUUAAUGAAUAGGGAGCUUGUGAUUGGUUUAUAGUGUAAUCUGACUGCUCCAAGCCAAUCAGCUGGGCCCCUGGCUCUCCCUGCUUCUGUUCUGAAGAUGUUGACAAAGCAAAUGUGGAGAGGGCAGUGGUAAAUGGCCCAGUACUGGAGACUUUUGGGUUAAACAUUCAUGUACGGUGUAACCCCUAAAUUAUAAUUAUUAGACUGGUGCAAAAUGUAGUUUGAACCAGUUCAUCCAAAUCAAAUCUGGGAAUUACCUGUGGAGUCUUAUUCAGUGUAUAAGACUCCAUAUUUAAAUCCUGUAUAAAUUAAUUUGGGUAUAGAUGAAAAGCAAGUCGAUUGUAUGGAGACGCUGAACUUUCCUCAUAAAGAUGGUUUGAUUCAAUGCAUCUAUAUGAGGAGAUGCUGAUUGGCCAAGCUGGCGUUUGGCCUCGCCUCCUUCAUGAUCUCCGCCAAUCCAGCACUUUUCCUACGGGAAAGCAUUGGAUUGGUUGAGAUCAUCAAUUCGGAUUAUGUAAACCAAGGACGUGUUUGUGAUGCUGACCCUAUAGUGUUCCUUUAAAUCAAAGGUGUUUAUUGUAUAUUCAGCGAUUCAAAGAAUAACAAUGGGAUUAAGGUCUUUUUUUGAACCAUAUAUAUAUUUUUUUUUAUAACAUUUUUGCUUUGAAAAGAUGCUUGUUAUCUCAGUAGACAGAUUUUAAUAUUGUAUGAAUAUAAAGCUUCAUGCAACAUUCACUACAUACACCAAUCUCUCUUUCAUGCUUAAUAACCUUUGGAUUACAAUGUAUCUUAAAUAGAAAACUAUCUGAGCAUUUUUCUCCAGCUAUCUCUAUUUUUUCUUUAUUUUUGAAAUAAUUUUAAAAAUCAUCUAAUUUUGUACAUUCUGUCUCAAGCUAAUUUUUGCACAACUAUAUUAAAUAUAAUGGAAUAAAUACAAUGGCAAAAUGACCAUAAAGAUAGGUAAGGUAAAUAUAGUAUAGUUAUUGGUAUAGGUAUAAGUAAAUCUAUAAUUUUUCAUAGUGAUACAUUAUAUAUUUUGCUGCUUUGGAAGCUGUUAUAAUGGCACUCAUUUAAUACCCUUUGCUCCUGUACUGCCAUUCUUCUGUGGAUUUUUCACUAUUGUAGCACCCACCCUCUGGUCCUACCCCCUCUCAGAUGCAAUUAGACUUGCUUAGUUAUACUUUUUCAAGCAGGGAAAUAUUCACUGCAUAGGUGUCAAAAUAUCCUAUAAUACUUCUGCAAAACCGAGAAAUAUUUGCUGGUGGAAUAUUCCUGUGACAGAGAGCAGAUUAACUACCUGUAUGAGGGUUCUCCUGCUCUCUUGUCACUCUAUUCUUGUCUUUGACCUCUUUGUUGCUGGCAUAAAGGGGUUUAUACUGUGGAUUGAUGGACAGUUGAGGGGCAGGAGCCAAAGUUUUAAAGUACAAUAAAAUCUCUAAAUUUGCUAGCAUCUCUACUAGUUUAACAUUGUUAUUGAGUUUAAUAUUUUUUAAUUCAAGAGUAAGUUGUGUGUAGCAUGAAAGGUAAACUUUAAAGAAACACUGUAGGCACAGGAACUGCUUCAUCUCAUUGAAGUUGAUAAUGCCUGGAGUCCCCAGGCACUGUCCUCCCAUUCAGUGUUAAAGGACCACUAUAGGCACCCAGACCACUUCAGCUUAAUGAGGUGGUCUGGGUGCCUGAUCCAUCUAGGGUUAACCCUUUUUUCUAUAAAUAUAGCAGUUUCAGAGAAACUCUAGUGGCUGCCUCUAGUGGCUGUCUCAUUGACAGCCGCUAGAGGGCUUCCGCGUUUGUCACUGUGAAAAUCACAGUGAGAAGACGCCAGCGUCCAUAGGAAAGCAUUGUGAAUGCUUUCCUAUGGACUGGCUGAAUGCACAUGCGGCUCCUGCCGCGCAUGCGCAUUCAGCCGAAGAGGAGGAGAGCUCCCCGCCCGGCGCUGGAGAAAGAGGUAAGUUUAACCCCUUCCUUACCCUAGAGCCCGGCGGGAGGGGGUCCCUGAGAGUGGGGGCACCCUCAGGGCACUAUAGUGCCAGGAAAACAAGUAUGUUUUCCUGGCACUAUAGUGGUCCUUUAAGCUAUUUUUAAUGUUUCAUGUUAAAUGAGAGUCCAUAGUAGCCUAUCCCCUCUGUGCAGCUUGGGCUUAUAUGGAAGAAUUUGCCUAAGCAGCAAUGAGUGGCUGAGCAAAUCGGCUUAACACGUUCAGUGCGCAUAAUUGAUAGAAGGAAGUGUGUAAUCUAAGACCAAGCCAUACCUCCAGAAGGAUCUGGACUAUGGCUGGCCAGGGCCACUUAUUUCCUGUUAGACUGGAGUGACAGUGUUAGGGGACUUCAUGUACUAUACCCAAUUCAACAGGAUUAAAUAUUUAUACUUUUUGCAGUGUUCGUUUUACAAAAUUGUACUUAAAGCUUGCUUCUGACAAAUGCAAUGAGAUAACAAAAUACACGGUUUACACACAGAAUGGUCUUGUACACCAGCUUGCACCUUGUAGCUAUAGUUUAUAUUUCUAUUUUGUUGGAUUGUAUGUAUUGCUUCAUUUUCAAGUAUUUAAUGUAACAUCAUCGCUCAACCACGUUUUUAUUAUUUAUACUGUUUAAUAGUGCUCUUGGAAUUAUUAUUUUUGAAUCAAAACUGAUGAAUACUUCUUUAGAAUUAAAUUCUGAAGUUGUUUUAAUAAUGUCUCCGUAUUUAUGGUGUUUAAAAAAAAAAAGUAAAAACAUCCUAAUUUAGUGUUUUUUAAUGUAAAAAACAACAUUAAAAACAUAGGUACAGAAACAAAUUAACAAAAACAUAUAAGUGCCCUGUCUGUAGAAAUCAAGUGUUCGUAUAUUUGGAAAGCUUGUAUAAGAUCCAGAGGGCGAAGCACCCAAUGAGAAGAGGCAAACGAUUCUCAGAGGGUCUCAACAGGCUAGCUUAUGUAGAUCCAUAUUUCAAAUUCCAUUAUCAGCAAACUCAAGAUAGAGAGAAGAAACAUAAGAAGAGAAAAGAGAGUUGGAUAGGAAACAGAAUGAAGAAAAGGGAAAAGAGGGGGAGAGAAGUAGACUGACGUGCCUGACCCGUAAUACUUAAAUGGGGGUAUCGGACGUAACUGGGUGUUAAGUGAAUUAGGCAAUAUACAGAGAUUAAGUUGCCACAUACUUCUCCUCAUGAUGAUAUUUUGUUGUUGUUGCGAUGGAAAUGUGCUAGAGCACAACCUAAGAACGACUCCGACUCAGAAAUCGGGUCUAGUGAGGGGGCUGGUGCUGAGUCCUUAAGUGACUCUGAUGACGAAUCCUUCGGGCAGGGCUUUGAGUGAUCUUGGAGUGAUUCCCCUGCUAUAGCGGGCUCCACUCUCCUGGAUCAGUCGGGAGAACCUAUGUUCGACCUGGAUGAUCUCCAUCACCCGAGGUUUACUGAGUGGCUACCGGCGGACCAUGUGGUGCGUUACCAGGAGAUCUGGGUACGGCACCCCCUCAGCAAGGCGGCCCAGAGUAAGCUCGGGGCUGAAUGCCGACGGCCUUUGGUGCCAAAGAAAGUCUGUGAGACUGUGAGAGGUCUCACCAGUGUUCUGUACAAUGGCAUGAGCACUUCCCUCUUUCUGCUGCUAAUACCUCUCCCUAUACAACCAAGCAUUCUGCUAGCAUUUCCAGCUGCUCUAUUAAAUUGUCUGCCUACCUUUUAAGUCAUCAGAAACAAUCACCCCUAAAUCCCUUUCCUCAGAUGUUGAGGUUAGGACUCUAUCAAAUAUUCUGUACUCUGCCCUUGGGUUUUUAUGUCUUGAACUUAUCCACAUUAUAUGUCAGUUGCCACAACUCUGACCAUAUUUUUAGUUUACCUAAAUCAUUUGCCAUUUGGCUUAUCCCUCCUGGAACAUCAACCCAGUUACAUAUCUUAGUAUCAUCAGCAAAAAGACAUACCUUACCAUCAAGACCUUCUGCAAUAUCACUAAUAAAAAUAUUAAAGAGAAUGGGUCCAAGUACAGAUCCCUAAGGUACCCUGGUGACAAGCCCAUGCUUCGAAUAUACUCCAUUGACUACAACCUUCUGUUGCCUGUCACUCAGCCACUGCCUUACCCAUUCCACAAUAUUGAAUCCAUACUUAAAGAUUGCAGUUUAUUGAUAACAGUGUCAAAAACCUUACUGAAAUCUAGGUAAGCAAUGUCUACUGCACCACCCAUAUCUAUUAUUUUAGUUACCCAAUCAAAAAAAAAUCAAUAAGAUUAGUUUGGCAUGAUCUUCCUGAAGUAAACCAAUGUUGUCUCUGAUCUUGAAAUCCAUGUGAUUUUAGAUCUUCAACAAUCCUAUCCUUUAACAUGGUUUCCAUUUACUACUGAAGUAAGGCCUAUAGUUGCCCGACUCCUCCUUACUACCCUUCUUGUGAAUGGGCACAACAUUCGUAACAUCCAAUCUUCUGGGACUACUCCUGUUAACAAUGAUUGGGUAAAUACAUCUGUUAAUGGUUUUGCUAGUACACCACUAAGCUCUUUUAAAAUCUUUGGGUGUAUUCCAUCAGGUCCUAUUGACUUAUUUGUCUUUACUUUUGACAGUUGAAAUAGAACCUCUUCCUCUGUAAACUCACAUGUAACGAACGACUCAUUUGUCCCUUUCCUUCAUUUUCAUCUGUAAAUACUGGACAACAAUAUCCAUUGAGGCAGUCAGCUAGACUAUUAUCCUCUUCUUAUUAAUCUAACUAAUCCUUGUUUUACUUUCCUUUUCUCAUUUAUAUAUCUAAAAAAAAGUUUUGUCCCCUUUUUUAUACUGACAGUGCUAUUCUCUCUUCUGUGUGUGAUUUGGAAGCUAUUAUAACUUGCUUAGCCUCUUUCUGCCUAAUCUUCUAGAUCAUUCUGUCUUCCUCACUCCGAUUUUUUUUUUAUUUUUUUUUAUUUUUUUUUUAUUUUUUAUAAUUACUAAAUGUUAAUUUUUUUGUUUUUUUACUAUUUUGGCCACAUCUGCGGAGUACCACAGUGGUUUCUUGAAUCCAAUUUAUCUUUGACUCCAUUUAAAUUGCUCCAGUCUGAUGCUCCUUUACACAUAUUCUAAUUUUAGAAAAGUCUGUUUUUCUAAAGUCUAAAAGUUUUGUUUUUGUGUGGUGUGACUCAGUCACUGUUCUUAUAUUAAACCACACUGACUGAUGAUCACUGGAUCCUAAACUUUCACCUACAGUAACAUAAGUAAUAGCUGGUGUCUCACUGUAUAUGUUCUGUUUUUUCUAUUUGUGUUCUUUGCUGCUAUUGGUGGACAGUAAGGAAAGGGUUAAGCAAUACUCGCGUCCGUGUCUUUCAUAAAAUCAUGACUUUUUGACUUGAAAUAGCAAAAUCAUGUAAUUGUUCACCUUUAGCUUAUUCAGGGAUUUCAUUGCAAUAAGAGGUGUUUGCAACCUGCAAAAUAUGCAAUUGUCUAAAGGGAAUUGAUUGCUUAGACAGGCACUAUAUUUGAAAAGUUUCUAUUGCUCUAAAAAUAUAUCAUAGCAGAUAGCUUAAAUAUAGCAGAUAGCUUAAAUAUAUCAUAGCAGAUAGCUUACUACAUCAGGGUCAGAUUGGUAGGAGAAGGUUUUUUAACAUCUUAGAUUUUAUAUUUGUAUCUUGAAAUGUAAAUUCUUUAUCAUACCUACAUCUUCAGUAAGAAUUGUGCCAGACUGCCAUUUCACCCCCACACAGUGGGACGAUCUGACUUGAGAUGGUGAAUCUUCAGUUCUAGGAUUCACUCAGUGUUGGCAGAGAAAGAAUAAUGAAUUUGUAUGCUGAAUACACUGAUUGGCCAAGUGCCAUGUAGUUGUCCUUCGUUGUUGAGAAACCAUGUUGUACUUUUUACUUGGAAAUGUUCCUAAUUAUUUUGUCCUAUCUGUCUAUACAAUCCUAAUGUUUCUUAAUGUGUGAAAAAUCUGUGAUGGGUGGUUCUCACUUUUAUCCGCACCCCCACACUAAUCUUACUGCUCUGGUUUAUGUUCUAGACAACAGAGAAUCUGUCACACAUGUCUAGCAAGAUGUGCUUCGCUUCAUCAUAAAAUUUACUGAUUUUGUAACAAUUAGGUAAAAGAAGACGCUGAUGUGUUGAAAUUCAUGGUUUAUGAGGAAUGAUUAAGAAAUAUUAAUUGGAAAUGCAAGUGAACAAAACAUCUGCACCGCUACUAACUUCUAAUGUGUGCAUUUGUAUAAUCCAUGUUAAAGGACCACUCCACAAACCUAAAGCACUUCAGCUUGUUGUUUUGAUACAAGUUUAUAAAAGUGACACUUUGUAUGAGAAAUCGACAAUUUUAAAAUUUAAUUCUAGAACACCGCCUGGCUGUCAAUGAAACAGGGAGGGUUGCAUCUUCCUUCCUUUAGCUCCCCAUAGCUGAUGGAAGUGUCAGGUGCGCUCAAGUAGAGCGUGUCUGACUUCCUCUCCACAGACCUCAGACCAGCGUCUUCAGAUCCUCCAGCACCUCUUCAGACCAGACACCUGCUUGCGACGAUUCAGAUUCUUCUCAAUGAAAAAGGGGAGAGCUCUCGAAGACUGCAAUUCAUAAGAACAGACUUUGCAAGCUCGGUUAAGUUAUACCCUCAGUAAAUACAUGCAUGAAACAUGCAGACAUGUAUUUAUUAGGGGUUAUAUCUACUAAACAGUUAUUGUUUUCACACAAAUUUCAUUAUGGAGUGGUCCUUUAAGGGUGUGACAAACCAGUGACAAAAAGUUUAAAUAUAUUGCUCUUAUAAAAAGAAUGCUACCUCUAAAUUUGAAAUAAAUGUUAUCAGCAUAUUUAAGAAGUUAUUAUUAUUCAUAAUACUCCUCUCUGUUGUUGUCCCCCAAAGCUUCAGUCCUUGGUCCCCUACUGUUCUCCAUCUAUACUACCUCCCUUAGUAAACUCAUUAGCUCCUUUUGGCUUCCACUAUCAUUUCUACGCGGAUGACACACAAAUCUAUCUGAUCUAUCCCCGUCCCUCUUGACUAGUGUCGCUGACUGCCUCUCUGCUAUUUCUAACUUCCGUAAACUUAACUUGACCAAAACUGAAAUUCUGGUCUUUCCUCCCUCAAGUGUUGCUACUCCUGUGUCUCCCUCCCUCCAAGUCAACGGUGCUACCAUCAGCUCCACCACGCAGGCUCGCUGCCUAGGUGUUCUCUUUGACUCCAACCUCUCCUUCACGCCUCAUGUUUAGUCUAUUGCCAAAUCUUGAUGCUUCCAUCUCAAAAACAUUGCGUACCUCUGACCCUACUUAACGCCAGACACGACUAAGGUGCUGGUCCAUUCCACUGUCCUUUCUCGCCUUGACUACUGUAAUCCGUUUCUCAGUGGUCUUACGUGCUCCCAACUUGCGCCGUUACAGUCCAUAAUGAAUGCGGCAGCAAGGCUUAUCUUCCUGUACGCCCACACCUCCUCAUGCCUCACCCUUCUGUCAGUCCCUACAUUGGCUUCCUGUAAGAUAUAGGGCUCAAUUUCUGGUUCUUGCUUUCAAGUCUCUACAUAAUGCUGCUCCCACCUAUCUACUCUGUCCGUACUUCCACCUAUGAUGCUCGCCUUCAAAACUUCUCGAGGGCUGCACUGUUCCUGUGGAACCCACUUCCCUCCUCCGUUAGAUGCUCACCCAGUCUCCAAUCCUUCAAAAAAUAUCAUUAAAAACCCACUUCUUCAUAAAAGUGUAUCAAUUAUACUGUUAAUAGCUCCCGAAUGAUUCCUCUCUUGCAACUGUCAUUAGUAUAAUACUCUCCUUACCUUUUGUGUCACUUUACCCCACUCCCUCUAGCAUGUAAGCUCAUUGAGCAGGGCCCUCAACCGCUCUGUUCCGGUGUGUCCAACUUGUCUGGUUACAACUACAUGUUUGUUCGUCCACCCACUGUAAAGCGCUGCGGAAUUUGUUGGUGCUAUAUAAAUAAUAUCAUAACAUAAUUUGCCAACAAAUUCUGAGCCCUGUACAAUAGAUGGACUAACAAACCAGUAGUUACAACAAGACAAGUGCACACAGCUCAACGUUAGCUUAUUAAUGCAAUUUUGGUGUAUAGAUCAUACCCCUGCAGUCUCACUGCUCAAUUCUCUGCCAUUUAGGAGUAAAAUCACUUUGUUUAUGCACCCCUAGUCAACCCUCUCUGCAUGUGACAUACACAUCCCUCCUAAACCCCUCAUGUAAAGAGUCAUCUAAUUUUUAUACUUUUAUUGCAAAUUCAGUUUAUUUUGGUAUUUUUUAUCUCCUGCUCUGUUAAUAGUUUGCUUGACCCUGCAUGAGUCUCAUGUAUGUAAUUAAAGUUCAAUUUACAGAUCAGGAGAUAAAAACUUUUAAAAUAAGUUACAUCUGAUUGAAAGUGAAACAUUUUAUUUUUCCCCCAUGUCAGUCUUAGCCAUGAGAGGUAUGGCUAGGACUGCAUAAACAAAAACAAAAAUUAUUUCUAAAUGACAGAGAAUUGAGCAGUAAAACGUCAGAGGUAUGAUCUAUACACCAAAAACUGCUUCAUUAAGCUAAAGUUGUUUUGGUGACUAUAGUGCCCCUUUAAUGAUCUGAACUACAAAACAAGCUGCAUUAAAGAGGACACCCAGGCAGGCAUGUAGUAGGAAUAUCACUACUUGUUUAUAGUUUCUCUGACUUUCUGCAAGCUCUGAAUUAGAGGCUGUUCAUUCCGUGCUGUUUGGGUUGAGACUGUGUGCAUAUAUUUAAAGGGACACUAUAGUCACCAUAACAACUUCAGCUUAUUGAAUUUGUUCUGGUGAGUAGAAUCAUUACCUUUAGGCUUUUUGCUGUAAACACUGUCUUUUCAGAGAAAAUGCAGUGUUUACAUUACAGCCUAGUGCUAACUUCACUGGACACUCCUCAGAUGGCUGUUAGAGAUCCUUCCUGGGUCAUGGCUGCCUAAAAUGCAUCCAAAUAUUUAGUGUCUCCUCCCUCUGCAUGCAGACACUGAACUUUCCUCAUAGAGAUUCAUUGAUCUCAAUUCAUCUCUAUGUGGAGAUGCUGAUUGACCAGGGCUGUGUUUGAAUCAUGCUGGCUCUGCCCCUGAUCUGCCUCCUUGUUAGUCUCAGCCAAUCCUAUGGGGAAGCAUUGUGAUUGGAUCAGGCUACCACUUCUGAUGAUGUCAGCAGACUGCUUGUUUUUCUGAGUCUAACAGCAUGCAGAGUUACAGCUUCAGGAUUGAAUACAGUAAGAUUUUGCUAUAUUUAUGGAGGCAUCAGGGGCCUAGAUGGUGGUGUUAACACUAUAGGGUCAGGAAUCCACAUUUUGUUCUUGACCCUAUAGUAACCCUUGCAUAAGGAAGUCUUUCUGGCACGAGGGUGCGUGCCUUAGGGGGCAGGCCUAUGGUGCAGCAUUCUGACAAACAUUUCAUUUUUUGUGCAAAUACUAAAAGAUUUGAGCUUUAGAGAAAAAAAAAAGAGUAUUGAGGCUAACACAUACCAAAUGCAUUAAAGUUGUAUUGGUGCCCUGAGUGUCCAUUUAAGGACCUGGACUUUGAUUGCUUCUAUUGCCUUUAAUCGUGAUUCCCUGUGUGUGAAUAUAUGUUAUAUUUAAUACAGAUGCCAUUUGGUUCCCCUUACAGUAUAGUGAACAUGGGGAUGAGUUGUGUUUUAAUAUUGGAGGCUUUCUACUGCUUUGUGAAUAAGACACCUGAGAAACUGCAGUCAUCCUAAUGGACUAUUAUACAAGUACAGUGUUUCAGUGUACUGUAAUUUCUGUCGACUGCAAAUAAUGCCCACUUAAAAGCAUUUAUUUUGUUAUUUCAGGCAAAACCCAGAGACCACAUUUGAAGUUUAUGUGGAAGUGACCCGCCCAGCAACAUCCACCGAAGGUACUGAUAUAACGGAUAUAAAAAUGUUUUAAAGAUAGUCAUUUACAUUUCAUGAGUAGAUAUUUCCCAUGUUACAAAUCACAACCUUGAAAAAGCAUGGUAGGAAAAAUAUUGUUAUAACAGCUCCUGAGUGUGGAUACAAGUCAGAAAAUUGACUGUACUCUGGGGAAAGAGCAUUUUAUGAAGCUUGAAGUUACUAUUAUUGCAGGAAUCCCAAUGGAGUUUAAGUAAUAUAACCCCUACACUACCAAAGUACCUUCUGCCUCUUGCACACCUAGAAAGCAGGUUUCAUAGUUAGGUGGAGAGCAGUUCUGUAAAUCCAAAGCCGCAUGUAAGACAGGCAGUUAUCGUUGACAGUCUCUAUACUGUAGAAGCUGCGGUUUUGUACAGACAGGUAAGAUCACACACAAAGGGCGACUCAGCUUCCCCCGUUUUAGAUCUUCAAAUGUGGGUUCAGUUCUUGAGGGAAGCAAUUAAUGGUGUUAUGCAGACUGGAUGUGGCCCGCUGGGUAUAAUGCAGUACCUUAGAGACGAGUUGAUGCAGGCUCCCUGCUCAGUUGAGCAGCUGUGUUAAACAACUACCCUUAUGUGUACAGUAACUUUAGAUCACACACACACACACAUCUGAACAGUGCUGUUCCUCUGAUAUAUUGAUCCAGAUAAAAUAUUGGGUAUCAGAUAACACACCCUGUAGUAUUGCACGAUUAUACUUUUAAGUAAGGCUUUUUGGCCUGUGAGCCACUCCAUCUAAAGCAUCUUUUGCAUUUCAAGUCACCCACUAGAAAUACAAUGUUCAAAUAAGUGUUCAUGUUUAUAAUUGUACCAUUUAAACACUUUUCUAUUUGAAGUACGUUUUGCUACUGUAUUGUUUUCCACUUGCUCAUCAUUCUGGAUGAUAUCUUUUCAGUUCACUUGACCUUCUAGCCCUUGCCCUCUGUUCACUCAUCCUUUGCAUUUCAGUAUUCUAUCAUCCAUUUACUCGUCUUCGUGAAUGGUACAGUUCUGCUCUUUAAUCUAUUUGACUGAAGCUGCUGCCCUUACAUGUUUUGCUUUGUGUAACAUGCUGUUGCCCUCGGGCAAUCAUCAUGCUCAGCGAUCCUGUUGCACUCAUAACAUUUUCCUUUCUAAAAGGUGCUGCUCCCCUAAUACGUUCAUAUAUCUAAAAUAUGGUUCUUUUGACUUGAGUAUUCUACUGAAGUAUUACGGUUAUGUUUUUUUAACUUGCUCUUUCUUUACAAAAAUGCAUUUUUUGUUAUGAUGUGUAUCCUUCAGUAUGCUUAUCUUGCUCACCUAAAAACAUUCACCUGUAAUCACUUAACAGUGGUAACUCCAGGACCAUUGUGCUUUCUUUUAUUGUAGGUUGGUUACAAUUUCUAUUUUAGUAAACUCAAUAAAUGUUAUUAAAAUAGUUACUUUAGGUGGUGUCUAAAGAUAUUCUUACCCCCACAAAAACAUCUGGGUGAUUGGGACUGCUCCCUGCUCAAGAUGAUGUGAGUAGUGGGUAUCAUUUUCCCAUGGCUCCCUGCUCAUAGUUACAGGUCACAUGCAAUAAACCAGGGGUCAACAAAAGGUAGAUCCUCAGAUUUUGUGGAACUAAAACUCCCAUGAUGCUUUGCAUGCAUUUAGAAUGCUUUUAGAAUGACAAAGCAUCAUGGAAGCUGUAAUUUUAAAACAUCUGGGGAUCUACCUUUCAAGCACCCCUGCAAUAAACCAUCUCAUAUUUAAACAUUUGUAUUAAGUGCUAGUCUGUGUCUUCACAUCCUUGAAUUUGGUGCAAAUCGGUAUAUAGGUAAAAUAAUGAUGAUUUUCAUAAAGAAAUAAAUCCUCAACAUUAGUGGCCUACUAAAAUUACUUUAAAUUAGAUUAUUUGUCCAGAUUGUUUAUGUAUAUCUCGAUUGUCUUCUCUACAUUUGUUUGUCGAAUGUCACAUAUUUAAAGGAACAUGCCACAGUUUCCAACCUAAUUGCGUUUAAAAUUAAACUGUCACUGAACCAAAGCCAGAACACACAGGUUGAGAUUUUGUGAGAGCAGUGAGUAGAGAAAUACAGGAAAAUAACCCCUUAUAUGUAUGCGCCUAUAUCCACUGAAUAGAGAAAACCCCAUGUGUAGGUUUGUAGUUUUUUGUUACAUUUUAUUGACCUGCUUGUUUCUGUUUUAAACAUACCAUUUUGAUAGAUUGCUUUGUUAGGCUUACUUGCACCACUUAUGUAACUAGCUGAUUAAAGUUACUCAGAAUAAAGAAGACCUUUUUGUUGUGUUUAUUGACAUGCCUCAUCUACUAAUUUCACCACUAAUUCUUGUCACUUUUUGUGGUUCUGUUAAUCUGUGGUUUUCUUAGACACGUUUAGGCUUAUUCACUAAAGUAUGAAUUGUUAGAAAUCGAUCUCUAGAUCACAAUAGCGAAAUUAGAAAAGUUCCCCAACUCACCUGUAUUGUCAGUGUGGCUAUUUUGGCCUGUGAAUUAAUAAUUGACUUUAAAGGACCACUAUAGGCACCCAGACCACUUCAGCUCAGUGAAGUGGUCUGGGUGCCAGGUCCCCCAGGUUUUAACCCUGCAGCUGUGAACAUAGCAGUUUCAGAGAAACUGCUAUAUUUACACUGAGGGUUAAUCCAGCCUUUAGUGGCUGUCUCAAUGACAGCCGCUAGAGGCGCUUCCACUUUCUCACUGUGAAAAUCCCAGUGAGAAAACGCUGACGUCCAUAGGAAAGCAUUGAGUAAUGCUUUCCUAAGGGCGGUUUGAAUGCGCGCAAGGCUCUUGCCGAGCAUGCGCAUUCGGCGCUGACGUCGGCAGGAGGAGGAGAGUUCCCCAGCACCGAGGGAGCCCAGUGCUGGAGAAAGGUAAGUGUUUUAAUCCCUUCAGUCCAGCGGGAGAGGGGCCAUGAGGGUGUGGGGGACCUAAGGACUACAUAGUGCCAGGAAAACGAGUUUGUUUUCCUGGCACUAUAGUGAUCCUUUAAAUUCCCAACAAUUCACUCUUUAGUGAAUAACGUUAUCUGUAUUGUUGUUUUGAAUUUACAUGUUUGAUACAUGUAACAUCAGAACGAAAAGUGUCAUACCUGGCUACAUCUACCAAGUUUAGCAGUGUGUUUUAUGAAGUUUGACAAAGUCAUUAACGUGGGAGAUGGGGCAGUAGUUUGCACUUGUUUUCUAUUUAAAAUGAACAAAUAAAUACAUAUAUUUACCUUUGUUACCAUAGCUACCCAUUACAUAUCCUACAAUAAAAUGUCUUCAUGCACAAUAUGAUGACGAAAAACACUUUCAAUGUUUCUCAGAAAGAAGCUUUGGAUGUACUAUGUCUCUAUGAGAAACAUUUGAUUGAUCUGCAUAAUAUUUGUGUUGCAUGCACAUAUAUGUUGAAUUUGUUUCUUAUUCUGGGGUGUGGACUAGGGAUCGACCGAUUAUCGGUUUUACCGAUAUAAUCGGCCGAUAUUCGGUAUUUUCGGCAAUAUCGGUAUCGGCCAAUUCAGAUACCGAUAUUGCCGAUAAUACCUCCUAGGACCGCCAGGCUCAUUACAAGCCCGGCGGUCCUGGGGGGGCGGAGAGCAAGCGCUUACUCACCUCCCAGCAGCUCCUGCAGCUCCCCAGUGCAACUCUCGCGAGACCCGCGGCCGUCAGAGCGUUGCCAUGAAUCACCAUGGCAACGCUCCGCGCGACACGCUGGCCGCGAGAGUUGCACUGGGGAGCUGGAGGAGCUGCUGGGAGGUGAGUAAGCGCUUGCUCCUCUCCCCCCAAAGCUCAGCCAAUACCACUGGACCACCAGGGACUGUCAUAUCCCCCCUCCCUGGCCAGGCAACAAGCAGGGAGGGGGGACAAAAAAAUAAUAAUUAAAUAUAUAUAUAAAAAUAAUUUAAUAAAAAAUUCCCCCUCACACACUCCAUUAUAUACACAGACACUACACAAACACACUGUGUAUAUAAUGCAGUGUGUGUUUGUAUAGUGUGUGUUUGUAUACAAUGCACACAAAUACACUGCAUUAUAUACACACACUAUACAAACACACUGUGUAUAUAAUGCAGUGUGUGUUUGUGUAGUGUGUGUAUAUAAUGCAGUGUGUGUAGUGUGUGUAGUGUGUAUAUAAUGCAGUGUGUGUGUUUGUGUAGUGUUUAUAUAAUGCAGUGUUUGUGUGUGUAGUGUGUGUAUAUAAUGCAGUGUGUUUGCAUAGUGUGUGUAUAUAAUGCAGUGUAUUUGCGUAGUGUGUUUAUAUAAUGCACACUACACAAACACACUGCAUUAUAUACACACACUAUACAAACACACACUACAUUCACUAUACACACACUACACAAAUACACACACACUCUGCAUUCAUUAUAUACACACACACUUUGCAUUUAGUAUAUACAGCAUUCACUUUACGCACACUACCCACACACUACACAAACACUCUGCUUUCAUUAUAUACACACUACACUAAUACACACUGCAUCCACUACACACACUAAACAAAUACAAACUGCAUCCACUACACACACUAAACAAAUACACACUGCAUCCACUACACAAACACACAUUGCAUCCUCCACACACACUACACAAACACACACUGCAUCCACAACCCACACACUACACAAACACACACUGCAUCCACUACACACACACUACACAAAGACACAACAAAGAGGAGUUAGGCGCUCACUAAAUAAACUAAAGGUGGGCAGCAGUGAACCAAGCAGGAAUUAACACACUGCAUCCACUACACACACACUACACAAAGACACACACUGCAUCCACUGCACACACACACACACAGCUCCCCUGUCACACUGCAUCCACUACACGUGGCAUGUAUAUUUUGUGCAUUUACCUUUAGAAAUAGUUUUUAUUUUCCAAAAUGGUAAAUGUACAGAAUAUCGGCAAAUUAUAUCGGCUAUCGGCCUGAAAGUUCACAGAAUAUCGGUAUCGGUAUCGGCUCUAAAAAAUCAAUAUCGGUCGAUCCCUAGUGUGGACCAUUUCAGGAUAGCAUUUACUUUUCUGGGAUCCAUUUCCACUUUACCUGGUUUAAUGAUAAAACCCAGAAAUUCCACACAGUGUAUUUAGAAGAUGCAUUUUUUAAUUUUUGCAUACAAAUUAAAUUUCCUUAAACUUUUCAUUACCUCAGUCAUAUAUAGGUGAUCGGUUUGGAGAUAUGGGGAGAAGACCAUUAUGUCAUCUAAGUAGACGACUACAUAUUGAUCAAGAAGGUCAUGAAACACAUUGUUGAGAAAAUGCUGGAAAGAGGCAGGGGCAUUACAGGAGGGCAUAACCAGAUAUUCAAAAUAACCCUACCGGGUACAAAAUGCCAUUUCCCAUUCAUCACCCUCUUGGACUCUGAGCAGGUUAUAGGCACCUCUUAGAUCAAGUUUAGAAUAUAUACGAGCAGAUUGGAGGCAUUCUAUAAGUUCAGGAAUAAGGGGUAGUGGAUAUUUGUUUUUUUAUAGUGAUAUGAAUGAGUUCUCUGUAAUACACACAAGGUGUUAAACUGCCAUCUUUCUUCCCCACAAAGAAUAUUCCAGCACCUGCAGUAGAAGUAGAAGGACGGAGAAAUCCUUUCUUUAGGUUUUCUUGUAUGUAUUCCUUUAGGAUAUGGAGUUCCUUUUCUGAUAAGGGGUAUAUUCUUCCAGAAGGAAUAGGUGCUCCUGGCAGCAAGUCGAUUGGGCAAUCCAAUAUCCGACGGGUAGUAAGGUUUCUACUGCCUUUUUCUCAAACACAUCUUGAUACUCCUUAUAAACCUCUUGCUCCUUUUUCAUGUUGAUCUCCAAUAUAGAAUGAAUAAAACUCUUUUUGGUUGUGUUUAAACAAGGCUGAGAGCAAUGGGGUGAAGAGAAUGAUACGGUACCAGUAGACCAGGAAAUAGUAGGAUCAUGUUGCCGUAGCCAAGGUAUACCCAAAAUAACAGGGAACAAAGGGGAAGAAACCAAAUCAAAAGUCCAUGUCUCAGAAUGUUUCCCUAUUGACACUAAUAUUGGUUUAGUUUGUUUGGUAAGUGGACCAGAUUGCAAGAAGGACCCAUCCACAAGUUGUAUUCGUAGUGGAGUGCUUUUAUUGUGUACAGAAAUGAAAAGUGAAUGUGCCAGGUCAAUGUCCAAAAAAAGCCACUUGCCCCGGAGCCAAUCAGAGCUUAACAUGCGUAGCUGUUUUCAUUCCACUGUAAGGAAAGGGAUACAGAUAAGGGUGGAGUAGAGGUGAAUAAACUGGAAAUUAUAGUAAUCAGGUUGAUCUGCUUACCAGUGGAUUUUUCAGGACAGGUUCUCACUGUGUGAUGAGGAUGCCCACAAUAGAGACACAGGUUUUCUCCUCUUCGUAUUUGAAGUUUGGCUGGGGGUAACUUUCCUUUUAUGAGACCUGCUUGCGUAGGCUCUUCUUUUGAGGGUGUGGGAUCCAUGACCGAAGAAGUAGGGGAAUAGUUUGAAAAUAUUUUUUGAAGCUGGAGCAUAAGUUUCUGCCUUUUCUUGUCGGUCUAGCUGAAAAGCCUGUUGCAUAAAGUCUUCCAAAGUGUUUAGUAUAUCAAAAUGAGCAAAUUUGGCUUUUAAUGAUUCAGACAAAUCUAGGCAAAAUUGAUUAACUCAAACUCGUUCCAACGUGUGUCUAUGGCAUAUGGCUUGAAAUCUGUUAUGUAGUCCUCAACAGGUCUCCGUCCUUGAUGUAAUGCUCUAAUGACAGUCUGAGCAGUAUCUUAUCUAUUAGGAUCAUCAUACAUAGCAGUCAUGGCAGUAACAAAAUUUCAUGCAUUUCAUGUUUGAACACUGGGGUCAUUGAUGCGCAGGAGAUCAUGGGCCCCUUAUUUGGGUGGACCUGAGAGAAGGGUGAUAAUGGUGCGCUCUUUGACACAAUUGCAAUAAUAAGUCUUAGGUUUUAAAUCAAAUAACAGUUCGCACACCAUGAUGAAGGAACGAUAUUUAGAUCUGUCAACCGGGAAGCGAUAUGGCAAAGAAACUUGUGGUUCUGGUGCCACGGCAUGAUCCUCUGGCAGAGGUAUCAGGUGGGCUGCAGGCUUAGCAUGCAGAGAUCCAGUAACAAGGGAAGAAGCACGUGUCUGUAAUUCUUGUAUGGCUUGCAUUAGCGUGAAUACUUGUCUGGUCAGGGCGUUUAGCGUUUUGGCUAACACUGAGGGCUCCAUGUUAGGCUCAGUUAUUCUGUUGGGUCUUUGACAGGUGGCAGUAGUGAGCCAAAAGCGAGGUACCAAUUGAGGAUAAAACAGUCUAAUAGUCAGGGUAAGCCAAGGUCGAGGGCAGGCAGCGCAGGUUCAGGAACAGUAUAACAGGCAGCUUUAAGAGUCCAGCUAUCACUAGAGUGAGUGCAGUUUACACGUGGGUUCUGCUGGAGCUUCCUGCGGGUCACUGCGUGGUGUGGAGAGCCGCGUCCACCAGUUAGAGGGAUGCCGGCUGCCUGUCCUUGCGGUCGGACCCGUUGGAGUCCUGGGCGUGCAGCGAGGAGGGACUGCAGCAGAAGUGGACGUAGACACGGCUGGGGACCCCCAGGUAAGCAUGGCCUUGAUAGUCUGUCAAUCUCGCAUACACAACUCUCUCAAGAAUCUUGGAGACAAAAGAGAUAAGGUGGUAGUUGGACGGGAAAUUAGGAUCAAGAUUGGGCUUUCUCAGAAUCGGGGUUACGGUUGCAUGUUUAAAAGGUAGAGGAAAUGUGCCAUAGGAGAGGGAGAGAUUGAAAAUUGUGAGAGGCAGAGCAAGAGAAGGAGAAAAAGUGCGGAUGAGAUACGAGGGAAUAGGAUUGAGGGAACAGGUGGUGGGGCGAGAGGAAUGGAGCAGAGCAGAAACCUCUUCUGCUGUAACAGGUGCAAAUGAGCAUAGGACAGCUGAGGCACUGUGGCUAGGGGGAAAGUUGGUAGUGGAUGGAGAGAGAUGAGAGAUCUUAUCAGUGAAGUGAGUUGCAAAGUUUAUGGAGGUCAAGUUGUUAGGAGGAGGCACGACAGGGCGCAGAAGAGACUUAAAAGCAUGAAACAGUCAUUUGGGCUCACAGGUGAGCGUGGUUAUUAGUGUAUUGAAGUAGUUUUCUUUUGAAGAGGAAAGAGUCAGACUGUAGGACCGCACCAUAAAUUUAUACUGGAAGAAGUCAGACGCAGAGUGAGACUUUCUCCAGCAGCGUUCAGACUAAUGUGGUGAGGGUGGUGUACUUUGGGUACGGGGUGUAUGCGGAUGUCAAUGGACAGCAGAUGGUGGGGAGAGGCGAUAAAUUAUGGCAUUUCUUAGAGGAGUGGGUUUAAACAGAUGGACAGUGGGAACUUCAAAGGAAGUAAAGAAUAGGGCAGGGAGGAUAGGUUGAAAGGUACAUUUAGGGGAGAGAAGCAUACCUACACCACCUCCUUUACAGUUGUUUGGUCUAGGAGUUUGGGAGAAUUGUAACCCACCAUAACAUAAGGAAGCAGGAGCUGCAGUAUCAGAGGGGGACAGCCAGGUGAGUGCAAGAAGUGUGAAAGAAUUUGAGAUGAAGAGGUUAUGUAUGGCUGUUGAUUUUAUAUUGCUGCAGAUGGAGCGGGCGUCCAGAGUACACACUGAAUAUUGGUAGAUUGGGAUAGAAGGCAUGGUAUUGGGAUGAGGUUUGUGUGAUUUCUGGUUGACUUAGUGUGAGUAGGGGAGAACACGGGCUCUGGGUUGGGAGAGACAUCCCCAGCUGCUAGAAGCAGGAGGAGAGAUAGAGACAGAAGGUGUGAGAGGGUUUUAUAUGGAUGUCGAGUGGGAGAAGGAUGGAGAGAAAAGAGUGCAGUGCAUAAGAUGAAAGAAGGUGGGAUUGCAGCAUAGAGGGGUUAAUGUGGAGGUUAUUGGGAGGUUGAGGGAAGUAGGUGUAAGGAGAGAUUUUGAUACUGAGGGAGAAAAGGGAAAAUUAGAGGAGGGGCAAAUAGAGCAUUACUCAGAUGGGUAUGCACUUCCAGAAAAAAAACGUGGAAGUUGGGAGUAGGCCAGGGGAGGCAUAGAGAGGAGAUGCAGUGAUGUAGAAAGCUGGGCUAGAGUGUAACAGGCAGAGGUGGUGAAGAUAAAGAGUGAGUGUUAGGGGUUAAGAGAGUAUAGGAGUGUGCUGAUUAUUUGAUUUGCAGCUGUUAUUUCUGAUUAUCUAGAUGUGUGUGUGUGUGUGUGUGUGUGUGUGUAUAUACACAAAAACACACACGUAGGGGUGUGUGUGUGUAUAUAUAUAUAUAUUUAUAUUUAAGUAUGUGUGUGUGUGUGUGUGUGUGUGUGUAUGUAUGUGUAUAUAUAUAUAUAUAUAUAUAUAUAUUUAUAAAACAAAUCCUUUGAGUUCCUUGAACUCUGGCUCAAUUUUGUUAUCUUGCGGGGUGGUAAAAGCCAGAAUCCAGUAGGUAAACAAAUAGCUUAGAGUCAUGGUCUUUAAAUUAAAAUUCCAUGCUUUACUGAAGAAAUAUUUUACAGCUGUGGAUCUUUUCCGUGUCCGUGCAUGUGUGUAUGGGCGUGUGUGUUAUACAAACAUAUAUAAAUAUACACUUGUAUUCUUAUUACAAUUACCGGUAGAUAUUCUCCAGUAUAUGGAUUUUGAAGGACAGACCUAUUACAAGGAGUCUGUUUAAUAAUAUGAGGUUCAGAUGUUUUUGAUUAUUUCAUUGUUUGAGCAAUACACUUUUUUUUUUUUAGAGUUAAUCAAGUGAGACGUCACACUUUACAAGCUGUAUGCUGGGAAACUACUUUGAUGACAGACUCCCAGUGAGUCUAAUGGCCUUGUGCGAAGUAUUGUCACACAACACUGGUAUGAUGUGCACAGAAUUCCAUGCAGCAACAAAAUGUGUAGAAUAAUAAUUCAAAAUUUACAGCUGUACUUUCCCUCUUCCAGAUUCCUUGUUCCUAGAUAAUCAAAACAGGUUUUCACAUCUUCUAGUGUAGGCCCUUAUUAUGUACAGUUUUUUUUCCCUUCAGAAUUUACUUUAUUUAAAAAACAAAAAAUCAACACACACACUAACCAGACCAAACUUGCUUCUCCAUGCAUCUAGAAAUGCACUAUUGUUUGCUCCAAAUGAUGUAGCAGCCAGAAUACUCCUAUGUAUAACACAGCUUUAACUGCUUUACACCGUGUUGCACAAACUGGGCAAAUAGAAUUUGCAAGGAAGCGCUGUGUGCUGUACUCAAACUGGCAUUGAAAGGGUUAUUAACAUUCUGUUGUGUUCAUGCAGUGUUGCGGAUUAGUAAGGGAAAUGCAGCUUAUGUGUUAAGACAAAGCAUGUAAAAGGACUUAUUUAGAAACCCAACCACACGUUUUCUACUUUCCCUCCAAAACAUCCUGCUUUGUUGGAUGGAGAGAGAUGAAUCUCUUCUAGAGAAAUCUAUUAACUCCAAAGCAGUUCAUCAUUGUUUGAGGGCAAAGACCCCAUUAGCAUCUGAAAGGCUCAAGCUUGUUCCUACUGGAGUCUGGGAGCAGUUGAAGUACUUCCGUCUUUACUUUAGGAAAUGGUUUGCUUUCUGAAGCCCAAGGAUUGGUCCCAACUGAAUCCUAUUCACACUGCUAACAUUCAACAGACUGGCCCCGUGGAAUACAAUUCCGCCUAAUUUGAUGCCAAUUGUAUUAUUGUUAAUCAGCAGUGUUAACCAUCAGUAAGAUGUAACUUUAAUAUAGAUGGUUACUUUAGUGCCUAAAAUGUUGUGGCUCUGGGUUUAUUAGGAUACUUUAUUUGGAGAAAGAACGUAGAAACAUGGUAUGUGACGGCAGAUAAGAACCAUUCGGCCCAUCUAGAACACUAUUGAGAGAGAGAAACCGGGAUUUUUAUGAAUGAGGAGAUAAGUAUGAGGAAGCAGUAAGUAAAAAAAGAGAAUGGGGCUUAUCGUGGCACAAACAAGAAUUAUAAUAAAUAAAAAAAUUUAAAUCCUUCCCACAGCUUUUGGAGUUUUCAUUAAAGAAGCACUAUAGUCUACAUAUAAAAGCAAGAAAGACAGGUCCCCCUAGCCUUCUUUCUUGUUUUUAUGUUAACUUCCCCUUCUUAAAAUUAUUUUCGAGUCCUUAUUAUAGAUCAAACUUACCUCCGUUCCAGCGCAGAGAUGCUCGGCAGGCCGCUCCCCCUUUUUCGUCAAAAUGUAGCAGGGCUCAAUCAGACACUUCUCUUAGCGAAGCAUCAUAACGAUCUGGUGCACAUGCGCGUCUUCACGCUGCACCAAUCGCGUUCUUCAUAGAGCGGCAUUGAAUGACGCCCUAUGAAUGAACUCAGCGCUCUACCGCGGUUUGCGCGGUCGCGAGCUGAGCUGACUGACAGCUCAGCUCGCUGUCUAUGCCUGCCCCCUCCUACCGCAACCCUCCUCAGCCCAAACUUUGUGUUUGCAUAGAAACACUAUAUAUAGAGAUAUCUCUCUAUAUAUUGUUUGUAUACAAACACACAAAUCGUAAAUAUAGUAAACAUACACACACUCUCUCUCCAUCCCUAUUCCUCCAUCCAUCCAUCCCUCUCCAUCCCAUCCAUCCCUCUCUAUCCAUCCAGAGGGAGGGAGGGAGGGAUGGAUGGAUAGAGAGAGAUGGAUGGAUGGCUCAUGCAAUACCACGCAGCGUGGAUACACAGGACUGCUUUCAGGGGGCAGGGCUUCGGAACGGCACACUCAACGUCGUGACGUAAACGCGUCCUCAUGUCAUACGGUAAUACGCUAUGUACAUAUUUCUUUUUGUUUCAUUUACUAUCACUGAGUGAUUUUGUAAGAAGCACACAAAGACUGCGAAAUUCCAUCAUUCUCUACUAAAAGUUUUUUGAGUAAGUUUAUGAUUACACAGUUUUGCACAACAGAUAUUAACUGGAUAAUUAUUGCUUUGCACGGGGCACUUUAUAUUAUAUAUGCACUUUAAGUGUUUUUUUAAAAUCACUAUUUUUAAAGCAACAGCGCACCUUCUUUUUGACUGUGACUAAGAGGGGGUAAACUAAAAAAAAAUGGGGGGGGGAGGAGCUUAAGAUACCCAAACCAUUGCUUAUAUGUCUGUCAUUAAAAUGAAAAUAUAUAUAUCUGUCACUCUUUAAUCCUGUAUUAGGUUUCAGUACCGAAGGGCCCCUCCGCCCUGAUUCGUUCCUGUCUGGAAAAGCUUUCUUGAGAUUUGAAAUCUACUUUGCACAUGCCUAGUUUUCUUUGUUUCUUUUUUUUUAUGUAUUGUUUUUGUAGACAAAAUAAAAACAAUAAUCCAGCAUAAUUUGUAGCGUAGAGGCACGGCGUUAUUACUGUUAAAGGUACAUAUGUGAAGGUGUGACCCUAUUUUAUAUGGCUAUAGUUACAAAACAUGUUGUCUCCACAACCCAUCUGCAUCUCAUCUAAUAUUCUCAUUACAAACUGAAGACACUGUCAGCUAAACUAAUGUGCCACCAUGAAAUAUUAAUUGGACCCAAUUUGCUUAACCUCUUAAGGACCAAACUUCUGGAAUAAAAGGUAAUCAUUACAUGUCACACAUGUCAUGUGUCCUUAAGGGGUUAAAGACACAAAUGGGGGCGUGGGGAUUCCUGCUACCAAAUAAAUUUUAUCUAGUAGCUUACAAAGGCAUAAACUAAAGGAAAAUCAGCAGAUCGAAACACAUAAAAUAAAUUCAGCAUGUGGUGCCUCCCCACGGCUCAGGUAAAGUGGCAUCUCUCCUCCAGUCAUAGAUCUCCGCAGUGCAAAAGAGGUGAAUAUCUCAACUAUCCAGGUAGGGCGGUUGGAGGCUGGUGCAGUUCUCCUUUAGCAUAUCCAGUUACCCAAGAAAGGUUGACACCUCAGACAGGAGUGACAGCAAGUAUGUCUUGCCAACUUUUUUAGAAGGCGAAUCAGUCCCCACUUAUAGGGAACUGAAUUGUCCUUAAUAAAGUAGGUUACUCCAUAAUGUUUGUCUCCAUUUUAUAGUAUGUAUGGAGAAGUCCCUGUAAAAACAAUAAGCUGGAAAUCUUCGAGGGUUAUAGCUGGAGAGCUUCAGGUAUCCUGCGUAAGGGCACCCCUUUCUGAGUCCUGGAAUAAGCAGAGCAUUACAUCCCUUGGGGCAUCUGGUGUUGUCUUUUUGGCUUUAGGAAGCUGAAAGCAGGCAUAUGUCUCUGUUUGCUUAGCUUGUCUUUGUGUCAACAUAGUAGAGGGUACCCGCCUGAUAUAAUAAGAGAGAACCUCAUUAGCUGUGGUCUCAGGGACCCCUCCCCCAAAUACUCACAUUCUGGGUUUUUGCCCUAUCUUCCACACUGGCCAGUCGUGCAGUCAAAUCUGCACACUGUGUAUGUAAGGAGCAAAUCCCUACAGACACAAGCUUGUUGUUUGCACCACUGUAACGCUCCUCAUUUCCUCCUCCAUGUCUGCAGGUGGUCAAUGCGGAUAUCACCUCCUUUACCACUGCUAUGUCUUUUCGGAACAUGGUUCUGAUAACCUUCAAAAGGGCCUUAAUUUCUGCUUUAGUUGAGGGGGUGCUAUUUUCCUGCGAUGGUUACACCAUCUGGGCAACACAUGCCCACAAGGAGCUUGCUGGUUCUGCAGACAAACUGCCUGCCUCCGAUGAGGUUGAGGAGUAGGCCUCUCUGGGCACCUUCUUUGGGAAUGCUGGUCUCGGAGUCUGCUUCAUAAAAAUCCUGAUAUCUUGGGACCCGUAGCUGGGAUCAGCUGGGUGUUUCUUGGUCUUUUUCCCCAUUGGUUGCCUCACCACUGUUGCUGCAAAUAGAACUGGUGGGUAAGUGGGAAACACAGAUCUGUGUGGUACAAGUGAGCUUUGUCCGUGCGCGGCUAUAUCGCUUAGGCACUGGCUCCGCCACUUAGUUUCUUUCAAGAAGGAAUUUCAGGGGCUUACCAUUGAAUUGCCAUUUGGAAAGUGACGGCCUUAUUUGACAAGCAUCACUGUUGUGCCUGUCAGUAAUAAUUUUCAUAGUAUGUACUGCAUAGUAUAGUCUCUGCGCCAAGUUGCUAUCAUCUUAUUUAAAGUGCUCAGUGACUCUGAGACACUCAUGUUGUGGCUAGUUGAAAAGCUGUGAAGCUCCACACUGCAGGACCUAACUGUAAGGCUGUAACUGUAAGGACUGAGCUGAUUCUGCUAGUUUUAAUCUUUAAUGAUUACUGCUUCUGUUAACAAUGUCAACUGGCUCUAUAUUACCACUGCAGAUUAAUCAUAUUGCCAGCUGCAAAGGUAAUGAGGAGUAUAUUAGUAUUCUGCUGCUUUAACACUGUGCACACUGUAUGCUGAGAGCUAAAUGUUUGCCAAGAGUUGCUGAUAUGUUUCAUAGCAGUAGCAACAGAAAGCAAUUGUUUAUUUUAUGGAUAUUUGUGUUGUGCCAAGUUCUGCGUAUUGUGCUGGUAUCUUCUUACUGUACUCUGUUCUGUAUUGUACUCUGUUAUUUGUAUUAGGGAUCGACCGAUUAUCGGUUUUACCGAUAUAAUCGGCCGAUAUUCGGUAUUUUCGGCAAUAUCGGUAUCGGCCAAUUCAGAUACCGAUAUUGCCGAUAAUACCUCCUAGGACCGCCAGGCUCAUUACAAGCCCGGCGGUCCUGGGGGGGCGGAGAGCAAGCGCUUACUCACCUCCCAGCAGCUCCUCCAGUGCAACUCUCGCGAGACCCGCGGCCGUCAGAGCGUUGCCAUGGAUCACCAUGGCAACGCUCCGCGCGACACGCUGGCCGCGAGAGUUGCACUGGGGAGCUGGAGGAGCUGCUGGGAGGUGAGUAAGCGCUUGCUCUCCGCCCCCCCAAAGCUCAGCCAAUACCACUGGACCACCAGGGACUGUCAUAUCCCCCCUCCCUGGCCAGGCAACAAGCAGGGAGGGGGGACAAAAAAUAAUAAUUAAAUAUAUAUAUAUAAAAAUAAUUUAAUAAAAAAUUCCCCCUCACACACUCCAUUAUAUACACAGACACUACACAAACACACUGUGUAUAUAAUGCAGUGUGUGUUUGUAUAGUGUGUGUUUGUAUACAAUGCACACAAAUACACUGCAUUAUAUACACACACUAUACAAACACACACAAACUGCAUUAUAUACACACACUAUACAAACACACACAAACUGCAUUAUAUACACACACACAAACUGCAUUAUAUACACACACUAUACAAACACACUGUGUAUAUAAUGCAGUGUGUGUUUGUGUAGUGUGUGUAUAUAAUGCAGUGUAUUUGUGUAGUGUGUUUAUAUAAUUCAGUGUGUGUUUGUGCAGUGUGUAUAUAAUGCAGUGUGUGUUUGUGUAGUGUUUAUAUAAUGCAGUGUUUGUGUGUGUAGUGUGUGUAUAUAAUGCAGUGUGUUUGCAUAGUGUGUGUAUAUAAUGCAGUGUAUUUGCGUAGUGUGUUUAUAUAAUGCACACUACACAAACACACUGCAUUAUAUACACACACUAUAUUCACUAUACACACACUACACAAAUACACACACACACUCUGCAUUCAUUAUAUACACACACACUUUGCAUUUAGUAUAUACAGCAUUCACUUUACGCACACUACCCACACACUACACAAACACUCUGCUUUCAUUAUAUACACACUACAUAAUACACACUGCAUCCACUACACACACUAAACAAAUACACACUGCAUCCACUACACAAACACACAUUGCAUCCUCCACACACACUACACAAACACACACUGCAUCCACAACCCACACACUACACAAACACACACUGCAUCCACUACACACACACUACACAAAGACACAACAAAGAGGAGUUAGGCGCUCACUAAAUAAACUAAAGGUGGGCAGCAGUGAACCAAGCAGGAAUUAACACACUGCAUCCACUACACACACACUACACAAAGACACACACUGCAUCCACUGCACACACACACACACAGCUCCCCUGUCACACUGCAUCCACUACACGUGGCAUGUAUAUUUUGUGCAUUUACCUUUAGAAAUAGUUUUUAUUUUCCAAAAUGGUAAAUGUACAGAAUAUCGGCAAAUUAUAUCGGCUAUCGGCCUGAAAGUUCACAGAAUAUCGGUAUCGGUAUCGGCUCUAAAAAAUCAAUAUCGGUCGAUCCCUAAUUUGUAUUGUAUAGAUAUCUCUAUAUUGUAGCUAGCUUUAGAUUAGAAUAUGGAUGUAUCUAUAUAAUGCACGCAGCUCUGAGUAUUGUAUGCUUAACUCUGUAUAGUAUGCAGCCCUGAGUAUUGUAGUGUGGACAACUAUUAGCAGUUGAAUACAUGAGCUUAUGCGGACAGAUGCCACAGAUGAUGAGAUUGUGAAUAUAUAGUUAAAAAAGAAAAGAUGUAAACCGCGCUGUUUAAAAUAUAAAUAGUACAUGCAUAUGGUAAUAAAAAAAAGGGAGGAGAGAAACCGCGCCUUAUAUGAAUUAAAUAUACAUACACUUGAUGUCUCUUAGUGGUUGCAGGUAAUUUGUCCUCAAAAAGAAAACAAAAAAAAUAUAUACAAUAGUGUAGUAUUUUUAACAAUAUUGAGAAGGAAUAAUAAAUAAAACGAAGGUAUUUUACACUCACAUUUGGUAGAGCUACUGUGGGAGCUCUAACGUGAUAGGCGUGGACGGUACAAUCCCCGUCUUAGGAUGAGAAGUCCAGCGUCUUGAGUACUCCAGUGGUGUGGUGGUAUAGAUAAAAGAAAUACAGAGAACUCCAAUGGUGUAGUAAUAUCCAAUAACAGUAUAAAUAGGUAAAUAUAAGUAUAUUAUACUCACAUUUGCUAGAGCAGAUAACUUGCUCUAGUGUAUAAGGUAUGCAGUGGUAUAAUCCCCACUGUAGGAUAUACAGGCCAGGAAGUAUGAUGGUAUAUAUAAAAUGAGGAUAAAAUAUAGCUUUAAAAGUAUAUUUAAUAGUAAUACAAAUACAAUGAAAUAAAAAGCUAUAUAAAAUAACACUUAACGCGUUUCGCCAAUGGCUUCAUCAGAAGUGUUCUGAUGAAGCCAUUGGCGAAACGCGUUGUGUUAUUUUAUAUAGCUUUUUAUUUCAUUGUAUUUGUAUUACUAUUAAAUAUACUUUUAAAGCUAUAUUUUAUCCUCAUUUUAUAUAUAUACCAUCAUACUUCCUGGCCUGUAUAUCCUACAGUGGGGAUUAUACCACUGCAUACCUUAUACACUAGAGCAAGUUAUCUGCUCUAGCAAAUGUGAGUAUAAUAUACUUAUAUUUACCUAUUUAUACUGUUAUUGGAUAUUACUACACCAUUGGAGUUCUCUGUAUUUCUUUUAUCUAUACCACCACACCACUGGAGUACUCAAGACGCUGGACUUCUCAUCCUAAGACGGGGAUUGUACCGUCCACGCCUAUCACGGUAGAGCUCCCACAGUAGCUCUACCAAAUGUGAGUGUAAAAUACCUUCGUUUUAUUUAUUAUUCCUUCUCAAUAUUGUUAAAAAUACUACACUAUUGUAUAUAUUUUUUUUGUUUUCUUUUUGAGGACAAAUUACCUGCAACCACUAAGAGACAUCAAGUGUAUGUAUAUUUAAUUCAUAUAAGGCGCGGUUUCUCUCCUCCCUUUUUUUUAUACUGUUUCUUAUCAAGGCUGGGAAUCCUUGUUUUUGUUACUGCUGCCUAUUUACUGUUUAUCUUUGGAGUGAGCACCCGACAUAUCUCCUUUCCUUUUCAUGCAUAUGGUAAUGGUUACUUCCAACGAAUCAAAAGAACCUCGGAAUGAAAAAUAAAAAAAUAGUGCAAUACAGUACAAAUAUAUGUAAAGCUCUGAUUAUAACUGUAGCUAAAUCCACUCACAUUCGUAUGAGCUAUAACAGAGCUCUGCUGUGGUGCGCUUGGACGGUACAAUCCCCGUCUCAGGAUAUGUUGUUCAAGUUGGUCCACACAUUUUUUUUAAAGUGCAAUGUGCAUAGUGGGGAGAGAGAAUAGCAGCCAAUAGUAAAGUACGUCUUAAUAAUUGAGCUGGUAAAAAGUAGUAAUGUACUUACAAUUUUAUGAGCAUACAACUUGCUCUAGUACAAACAGCUUAGGUGGUAUAAUCCCCACCAAAGAUAUACAGUAUCCAGGAAGUAAAGAAGGGAUGGAUAAAAGUAACUAUUAACAAGUAUACUUUAAUAUAAACAAAACAUAAUAUAAAACAUAAAAAGAUAUAUAAAAUGUAAAGUAGAGUCCCACUUAACGCGUUUCGCCCGGUAGGCUUCUUCAGAAUAUAUAGUUAAGGUGUGGAGUCUUGUGCACCACCACCGUAAAACUUCUCCAGCCAUCACUGGAAAUAAUACAAUAAUGACAAGUAAACUGAAUGACCACCCACAUCUCUUAGCUACAUGUAUCCGUUACUAUACAACCUUGCAUCCUCCUGCCUUUCCCUGCUGUUUUGUUAGUUACUGCCUGUUUGUCACAAGUGAUAAUAAAUCUUAGAAUGUAAGCUCAUUGAGCAGGGCCCUCCACCUCUCUGUUCCUGUACGUCGAGUUGUCUGGUUACAAUUAAAUGUCUGUUAGUCCACCCUUUGUACAGCGCUAUGGAAUCUGAUGGCGCUAUAUAAAUAAUAAAAUAAUAAAGUAGAUCAGUUUUGUUUUGUUACAUAUUUUGUAAAGACUUCCAAAGGUGAUAUCUCCAGUAGAUUUUGGAUGCAAUGGAAGGUAGAUUUACUUAUCUAAAGCUGUCCCUCAUAGAUGUAGCCAGCUUCUUCCUCUUCAUCUGUCAGGAGCCACGUCAGUGCUGUACUCCCACUCAUGCCCGAGAGUACAAAGAUGCCAUGAGACCAUGGAAGCCAUCAUGUGAUGAGUGAGAUGAUAUCUGAAUCCCAGACCGUCACUUAUGACAGCUGCUAGGAUUGGACAAAGGUUGACAGUGGAGCUCCGCCUUUCUUCCCUCCCUUUAAGGCUUUACUGUGAGACAAAGUAGUCCAAUUGUAGUCCACAGCAUCUUUAAGCUUAUUUACCUCUAAUUUGUUUUGUUAACCCCCUAAGGACCAAACUUCUGGAAUAAAAGGGAAUCAUGAUAUGUCACACAUGUCAUGUGUCCUUAAGGGGUUAAACAUAUACUUAUUCAUGUGCAUAUAGAAUGUUAUCUGUUACACAAAAAGUGUGUGUGUACUAAUGCUUGACACAUUGAACUUAUAGAUUUUGGAGCCAAGCAGUUUUUCUUCUUGUUUCCUUUGUUUCUGUAAGAAGAUUGCAUAGCUGCCUUCUUCUUCCUGCAUACCUUCUUUGGUUCCUGGUGCUUUAUCUGCCAGGCACUGCAUUAGUGAUGUACUCUUGUUCAUGCCGGACAGUACAGCUUUGCAGUCAAUGGAGGUUCCCACCAGACCGUGCAGGCCUCCAUAGACGAUGUCUCGUGGGAUUCAGACAUCACUCAAUAAUCAUUAUCUCCCUGUGUGUCCUAACCAAACAUGGGACUCUCACUUACUGGCCCACAAUAUCCAUUUUAGUAGCCACACCUGGUAGCAGUCUACAUAGUGAAUAUCAAAAUGCAGUAAAUAAAUGGAGAUAAUAUUGGUUGUCGUUGUAACUCAAUCUUGUUUUCAAGUAGAUAUUAAAAAUAAGGCAAAGUGGUUAAACAGUAAUAACAACACUCAAACAAGGUUGCAAUUUAGACGCAACCCUGUGGUGUGCCAUAUUCUUUCACUGGCUAUUAAUUAUAUAUUUACAUUUUUAGUCCUUACUUCACCUUCAGUGCCUCUCAACUUUACACCAGAUUAUUGGUAGCAAAAAUUGUCCCUAAAAAUAUAUAUUUAUCCGUCUUGUGCUAUACCAUGCUCUAGUCAUGUGCUAAGAAUGUUUUCCAAGUGUCUAGGAUUUCAAGAGUAAUUCAUGCAUUGCAAAUUCUUCUUCACAACUUCAUAAGUGAUCACCUCUUUUCUUGUUGGUUUAUCUUCUAUUUUUCUUCUUUCCAAGCCUGACAUCCUCAUCAAGUUCACAGUAGGCCUGCUUUGUUUGCUUUCUGUUCAGUGCUUGAUAGGGUUUUUCAUUUAAACAUUUUUUUUUCUUGCUCCAUUGUUUUGUGAAGCAAGGACAGGGCUUGCCAGAGUCUGGUGAGGGUUUUGUAAAGCCACAAUACGGUCAUUGUCUAGCUUUGAAUAAUUGUGGCUGCUUUUUGUACAACCAGAACUAAGGCAUUGGCUGUGAACGGAUUGCUUCUUAGCGUGAAAGGGGACUAAUCCAUGUAAAUACAGGCAAAGAAAUAAAGCCAUACAGAAAAAGGGAAAGAUUGCUAAGCAGGAGGGCAGAGGUUAGCAAUUUAACCUUUAACCUUACAAAUAAGAAGCAUGAAUUGGUUUACAAAAGGGAGCUCCUGUGAUCUGUCAGUUUUUCUAUUGAGGACAAGGCUCGAAUAGACAACUGACAGACACUGCCUUUUAACUGCGUGUAAAACUUUUGAGUGUAUGCUUCUUUGCCAAACGUGUUAGAAUCAGGAAGGCUGAAUUUUCAGGCAGAAGAAUUCCAUUUUUGAUCCAUAAAUACAUGAAAGUAGUAAAAGGAUUCAAUUGUAUGGGCCCUAUAUCAAAUAUUAAAGAGGUUGAAGGAACAAAUCAGGCCCAAAGAUUUGCUAAAAUAUGGUAAACUCUUUGUAAUCUGUUCUUGUUCAAGUUUUUGUUCAAUUUUAGAGUUAAGAAAAAAACAUCUUUGUUACUCACAGGCAUAGAUGCACCAACUUUGAUAGGAUUUGGCAAUGUGCACACAUUUGAAAAUCAGGAUUAUGAUAGCGGGAUAUGUCGUGGACAAGGAAAGGCAUACUUGCAAAUGGUGUGCAUCUAAUGGCAGAUACCAUCUAGGUGAUAUUCAUCUCCAGUUAUUAAUACACAUAUUCUUAUUCAUGUGCACAUAAAAUUAUAUCUUAUGCCCAUCUUUUCUGGGCUAAAUGUGUUUGUGUGGGUGUGUACUAUUGCUCGACACAUUGAAUAUCCUGUUGUCAUGCAGAUAAGUAAUGUGCCAAUGCUGACAUUGGAACUAUAUAUAUAUAUAUAUAUAUAUAUAUAUAUAUAUAUAUAUAUAUAUAUAUAUAUAUAUAUAUAUAUAUAUAUAUAUAUAUAUAUAUAUACAUACACACACACACACACAUAUAUAUAUCCCUACAGCCCUCCUCAUGGUCAGAAGGGUAAUAAAAUACCCUUCUGUUACUUACCGGAGCCCAGCGCCAAUGUUCCUCGGCAAUGGCUCGGGGUCUGCCUUUGCUCCUCCCCGCUGAUGUCAUCCAUUAAUUAAAACCGCAAUAAUUACCUUUCCAGGGUUAGGGGCCUGGGAAUAUGCACCCAGACCACUUCAAUGUGCUGGGUGGGUGCCUAUAGUGUUCCUUUAAGUUAUAAGCUACUAGCCAGGCUUUAAAAGUUACUCACCAACCCGAGUGCCCUGGCCUGCCACCUCUCCUCCUCUGGGGCUCUCUUCUCCCUCUGCAUCCGUCCACUUAACCUCUCUGCAGCAUCAUACUACUCCUUUUCUUGCCUUCCUCUUGUUCCUCCUUGGCUAUCCUUUCUUUUUUUCCUGAUCCAGACAGAUCCCUUCCCUCCUGCCCAACCAAAUUACUAAUCAUGGCACAGUGGAAAAAGUCCAUUAUGGGCUCAGGGGUGACCCCCUGAGAUGGAGCACAUUUGUGUAACAACCCACACAAUGACCUACAUGCGUGACAACAGCCUCAUCACCAACAACCAAUUUCGUACUGCACAACUGACUCUGACCAUACUAGCACAGUCUCAGGUAAAACUACAACAGAUCCAUACUUUCAAACGAAGAGAGUGCUCAAUCACCCCCUUAGUGAGGAAGUAGCCGGCAUAGGACAAAAUGACUUAACGAAUGACACGAAUGAACGUUGAGCAAACAUACCUGUAUAUGGUGUUAUGCACCUGUUAUCCAUGUUACCAGACAUACUGCCUAGAGACCCUGUGUGGUCCAAUUCAGCAUCCAUUUGCAGGGGACCUAUGGGACCUGUGGGACCUGUGUGCCCCGUUUACCUUUAUUCACAACUGUUUGGCAGUGGAAAAGCGCUAUGUUAUUGAUUGGCAUAUAGCUCCAGGAAAAAUUAAGAAGCCAUACGAAAACUUACUGUUUCCCAAUUUGUUUCCAAACUUAUGCCUUAUCCCCUGCGUGGGAAAACUGUUUUGUUUUAUUUCAUGACCUUAAUAAAACCAGAUUUACCAUUUAAAAAAAAAAAAAGAAAAAAAAAAAAAAGUUACUUACCACUGCAAGCCUGGAAAGUCAUUGGCAUACUCAGCAUAUGUAAAUUUCUACUUGCUAGGGCUACAUUUUGACUCGCGAGACUAAUGGCAAGUGACAAUUUUGAGUGUGUGUGUGUGUGUGUAUGUAUGUAUGUGUGUGUAUAUGUAUGUGUAUAUAUAUAUAUAUAUAUAUAUAUAUAUAUACACACGAGAAAAAGAAAGUACACCCUCUUUGAAGUUUAUGGUUUUACAUAUCAGGACAUAAUACCUAUCACCUGUUCCUUAGCAGGUCUUAAAAUUAGGCAAAAUUAGGUAAAUACAACCUCAGAUGAACAACAGCAAACAUAUUACACAGUGUCAUGAUUUAGUUAACAAAAAUAAAGCCAAAAUUGAGGAGCAACGUGUGAAAAACUAAGUGCACCUUAUGAUUCAAUAGCUUUUAGAACCACCUUUAGCAGCAAUAACUUGAUGUUGAGGUUGCAAUUACCCAAUUUUAAGACCUGCUAAUGAACAGAUUAUUAUUCUUCAAAUAGGGUGUGCUUUCUUUUUCCUGUUACUGUAUAUUUUGCAGUUUUUAGAUAUUUGCCUGUUAUUCAAGAACUUUUACAAAUUUAAACAAAGUGGAAGCUGAUAUGGAUCCAGAAAAGUCAUAGGGCAGUGAAGGGGUUAACCCUUGUUGAGGAAUGUAAAGAACACACUGUCCUAUAUCGAGAUCAAGUACUAGCAGGAAAUAAAUUAUCUUAAAACAUAACUUUUAAUAAUGAAAUAUGUAAAAUUAGAAAACAAAUGUUUAAAUAGAAAACAAAAAAUCCUUAUAAAUAAACCUAAAUGUGUGGUGAGGGAACAUGAGAAAAAAAUUAUAGAGUAUAAAAUUAGUAUUGACUCAAUAGACAGUGUCAAUGUUAGCAGACAUAAGUAUGAGAUAUAUUCCCAGUAAAUAUAAAUUUCUUGUUAAGACGAUUCAAGUGGAUACUAUGUAACUCAAUAUGUUGCAAUAAAGAAUAAAGAUGCUAGUAACAAAAAUGAAGAGCAUAAAUUGAAGGUAAAUUGAACUGAAAAUGCAUUAGCAACAGUUACAAAGAAACCCAAAAGGGUGAACCCAGAAACUGGUGAAUAUCACCUAAAUAGUUAUAUUAGAGUAACAGAAUGGCAUACACUAUAAUAUGCCAGCUAUGAUCAAAUGCAACUUAAUGAGGUGUCUUUCAAAUGUCUGCUAAACUCUAAGCUUUUUUGGAGAUAAAAAUGUGCUCGAGAUUUUAUAAAUAUUAUCUGUUAGUGCUAGUAUAAGCCAAUAUUUACUCGAAAAGUUAAUCUAAUAGAUAUACAAAUGUCCAUCUGUGCCUUCAAGGGCACCUAUCAUUAAUAGUGGCUAAUCUAGCUCCCUAACAGAGAUCCCCUGAAAAGCGCAACAAAAGAAUUGCUGUGUGUAACGUGCUAUCGGCGGUAUCAACCCGAAACCCCAGCCACCCAAAAAUAUUUAAAUAAAUCAGUUCAAAAAGUUAAUCUAACUAUUGACUGCUAUGAUAAGCGAAGUAGAGAUGAUGGUGAUGAGAGGCUGAAGGUCUAAUGAGCCCUCACACGCGUUUCGCCGGUCAGCAGCUCUUCAGAGAACUUGAGACAACUGUUAGUUUCAAUAAAAUUAAUCCUCUUUUAUUUUUUCCUUUUAAUAUUGUCAGGUAAGAAGCAUGCUAAUGCAUUAAGAAUGUACGUCAAUACCAUCUCUUAAAUGGUUUCUAAAUAAAGAUUUUUAGUGCUAUAUUUGAACAUCAAAUGACUUUCAUGUCCAUUUCCAUCUCUUAUUUAGGUAAAUUAAAGGAACACUAUAUUCACCAGAACAACUACAGCUUAUUGUAUUUGUUCUGGUGAGUAUAAUCAUUCCUUUCUGGAUUUUUGCAGUAAACCCCGUCCUUUCAGAGAAAAGGCAGUGUUUACAUUAGAGCCUAGGGAUACCUCCACUGGCCACUCCUCAGAUGGCUGCUAGAGGUGCUUCCUGAGGCAGUGCUGACAUUCAGUGUCUCCACCUUCUGCAUGGAGGCACUGAACUUUCCGAUUCAAUGCAUCUCUAUGAGGAGAUUGGCUAGGACUGGCUCUGCCCCUGAUCUGCCGUCUUGACAGUCUUGGCCAAUCCAAUUAUGUCCUAUGGGAAAGCAUUGUGGUUGUCUUUGAUCAACACUACUGAUGAUGUCAGUCAAGCAGUCAGAUCAGAGGCAGAGCCUGGAAUGAAGGUAAGAUUGUACUAUAAU
rnacentral:lncRNA from 1 species